rnacentral:lncRNA from 1 species
GAAUCAGCACAGAGCAACCACCUUAUUAAUCAAUGAUGUCCGGUUCACGUAGUAGCCUACACAUGUGACCAUUACCAUCUGAUACACGUAGUAGCUUGCACAUAGUCCUACACACGUGAUAUAAACUAUCCGGUAUGCAUAGUAGCCUGCAUAUAUUACUACGCAUCGACCUAUCAUUCCGGUACACGUAGUAGCCUGCACAUAAUACUACACACGUGACCAUCACUUUCACUUUUACAUAGUGGCCUACACACAGUCCGUGCCACAUAUGUGAUCAUUUCUGUCACUUCAUUCGUAUCCCUUUUUAUUCCAAAGGUUUAUUCGGGAAUUUUUCACUUUUUCUCACUUUUCUUUUUAUCGAUCAAUUUUAAUUUCUCGUCUUUCUUGAUCUAUAACAACACAUUUAACUUAUAUAACAUUCACACUAUUCAUUCCAGUCCAAAAAUCAUACUUUGGAAAAAUUAUGUUUUUGCCCCUAAAGUUUCACAAAAUUACGAUUUUGCCCCUGGGAUCGUAAAAUAAUUUUUAUUCAAUUUCCUUGCAUUUUAGGCCUAGCCGAACCAUUUUCAUAACUAUAGCAGUCCACAAUACUCACUUAUCCACACACUUGUGACAUAUUUUAUAACUUUUACAAAUUAAUCCUUUUAGACAUUUUCAUCGAAAAUCAAUUAGUAAAAGACGUUCAUCACACCCCAAACAUUCAUAUUCUUCCAUAAAACAUCAAAAUAAAUGCAUAUAAUUCAUGGGUAAAUUUUUAAACACAAACCCUAGUUCAAAAUAAUGGUAGAAAUAGCUAGAUCUUGUUACGAGGAUUUCAAAAACGUAAAAAAUUAAAAACGGGGCAAGGAUGGACUUACUAUUGAGCUUGGAAGCUUGAAAACCCUAACCAUGGCUUCCCCCUUGCUAAAUGCCCUUAAUGAAAAACUUUGUAAACAUGCCUAGCCAUGCCCAUUCUUGUCCACCAAUUUAACCAAUGGUCUAAUUACCAUAUAAAGACCUCCAAUUUAAAAUUUCAUAACAAUUGGAGACCUCUAACAUAUAGAACUCAACUUUUACACUUUUUACAAUUUAGUCCUUUUGACUGAAUUGAGUGCCCAAACGUCAAAAUUUUUUAACGAAAUUUUCACGAAAUCAUUUUGUGAAAUCAUAGACCAUAAAAAUAUAAUGAAAAUAAUUUUUUUCUCAUCGAAUUUGUGGUCCGAAAACCACUAUUCCAACUAUCCCCAAAUUCGGGUUGUUACAGUGUUGGCGGUGAAACAUGAUUCGGUGCUUAAAUCUAUAUUCUAGAAUGCAGAAUCUAGUUGUCCAACCAAUUCCUAUCCCUCUGUAGUACGGUACUUCUCUAAUAUUUACCGUCAUUACAUAGACAAUAUAACACCAAAAGUAAUAUUUUAAUGUUUUUUAUUAUUAUGAUAUUAUAUUUACUUUUGUUAUUAAUUUUACUUAAAUUUUUUAUUUUAUAGAUUAAUAUCAUUAACAUUGAGAAUAAAUUGAGUAGGCAACUGCCAGAACUGUAUCUUCAUCUAUUUAAAGAUUUAAUUAAUUAUGCAAUAAGCAAUAAAAGUAGGUAAGGAAUAUAAAAAAAAUUAUAUUAUCAUUGUAAAAUUGUUUUUUAAUUCAUAUUAAAUAAAUAUUGUUAUUUUAAUGUCUUGAUAUAGACACUCAGUUUUUUGAAAUAAAUUAUUUUUAAAACUAUAUGCAAUAAGCAAUAAAUCUCGUAUUUUCUUUUCUUUCUCGUAAUCACGUGAUUUUUUUAUUCUUUUCUUUUUCCUACUUCUAGUCCAAAAUUUGAGGUGUGACAGUUUUUAAAUAUAUUGAAAGAGAAAACCAACUUCCUUACCUUUCAUAUAUUUUCAGAAAUAAUUAAUUUCAAAAAAACUGGAUGCCUAUAUCAAAACAUUAAAAUAAUAAUAUUAAUUUAAUAUGAAUCAAAAAAAUAAUUUUACAAUGACAAAAUAAUUUUUCUAUAUUUGUUACCUAAUUUUAUUGCUUAUUGCCUAAUUAAUUAAACCUUCAAAUAGAUGAAGAUACAAUUCUGGCAGUUGCCUACUCAACUUAUUCUAAAUGUUAAUAAUGCUAAUCUAUAAAAUAAACAAUUUAAGUAAAAUUUAAUAAAAAAAGUAAAUAGAAUAACAUAAUAAAAAAUAUUGAAAUCUUACUUUUAGUGUUAUAUUGUCAUUGUAAUGACGGUAAACAUUAGAGCAGUACCGGAUCACGCUUCACUGCCAACACCCAAUCAUAUGAAUAUUUCUUUUGCAAUAUAUUUAGGCAUUUGUCAAGAUUACGCCACCAAAUCUCUUCACGCUUCAUCAUGUGAUCCAGAUUUAUAAUAAAAGAGAACUUAUCAACAGGUCUCCAAAAUAAAGAUGCAUCUAGUAAAAACGCGAGACUCGUGUAUUCCCUAUCCAUUUGGACAUAGGGAAAUAUGUAAACAAAAAAUUAUAAAAUUAAUGAAGUAAAACAUAUGAGUUAUCGAACUUUAAAAUAAAUAUAUGAAAGAUAACUUAAAAGUUUUAAAAUUUGAGCUGGUUAACAGACAAUGAUAAUUCAUUCGACAUAUUGAAAUUCUCAUAAUUUUGGAUAACAGAUUCAAAUGGCAUAUUGACGAUGUAGUUCAUCAAAUAUUUCAACUCAUCAAUAUCACCUUCCAUUAGUUGGUCAGAUGCAUUCAAAUUGGGUAAAAACUUUAACUCCACCGAAAUUAGUGAUGAAUAUAAACUUUAUUGGAUCUUGCGUGUAAACGCUCUUAUUAUUUUUAGCCCAUAUACAAGCCACAUCUUUUAAGAUCUUAAUGAUAUCCUCACUAAUGUAAUUGAACCAUUCACGUUGAUUUCGGUUACUAUUUCCCUACCUCUCCAUCUUUUCACUAACAUAUGUUAUAAUAUUUUUAGAAUAUUCUAGUGCAACCACCCAUUCAUCUUGGUACCGUACAAGGUGAUGACAACUUAAUAUCCAAUCAUCAUCUUUUACGGUAUCAAGAUUAAUGGCUGGUUGCAGUAGAAUAUUUAAAAAAUAUUGUAAUAUAUUUUAGAGAAAGGAUGGAGAGGUGGGAAAGCAGUAACCGAAAUCAGCGUAAAUGCUUCAAUUACAUUAGUGAGGAUUUCUGCAAGAUCUUAAAUGAUGUUGCUUGUAUAUGGGCUAAAAAUAAUAAGUGCAUUUACACGCAAGAUCCGAUAAAGUCUAUAUUCAUCACUAAUUUCGGUGGGGGUAAAGUUUUUACCCAAUUUUAAUGCAUCUGAAAUACCAAUGGAAGGUGAUAUUAAUGAGUUGAAAUAUUUGAUGAACUAUAUCGUCAAAUUGCAUUCGAAUCUAUUAUCCAAAAUUCUGAGAAUUUCAAUAUACCGAAUGAAUUAUCAUUAAUUCUUAACCAGCUCAAAUUUCAAAACUUGUGAGUUAUCUUUUAUAUAUUUAUUUUAAAGUUCGAUAACUCAUAUGUUCUACUUCAUAUAAUUUCAUAAAUUUUUUAUUUGCCUAUGUCCAAAUGGAUAGGAAAUACGUGUGUCCCAUGUUUCUACUAGAUGCGCCUUUAUUUUGGAGACCUGUUGAUAAGUUCCAUUUUAUUAUAAAUCUGGAUCACAUGAUGAAGCGUGAAGAGAUUUGGUGGCGUAAUCUUGACAAAUGCCUAAAUAUUUUGCAAAAGAAAUAUUCAUAUGAUUGGGUGUUGGCGGUGAAACUUGAUCUGGUGCUUAAAUCCAUAUUCGAGAAUGCAGGAUCUAGUUACCUAACCAAUUCUUCUGCCCCUGUAGUACGGUACUGCUCUAUUGUUUACUGUCAUUACAACAACAAUUUAACACCAAAAGUAAUAUUUCAAUAUUUUUUAUUAUGAUAUUCUAUUUACUUUUGUUAUUAAUUUUUACUUAAAUUGUUUAUUUUAUAGAUUAGCAUCAUUAACAUUGAGAAUAAGUUCAGUAGGCAACUGCCAGGACUAUAUCUUCAUCGGUUUAAAGGUUUAAUUAAUAAUGCAAUAAGCAAUAAAAGUAGGUAAGGAAUAUAAAAAAAAUUAUAUUAUCAUUGUAAAAUUGUUUUUUUAAUUCAUAUUAAAUAAAUAUUGUUAUUUUAAUGUUUUAAUAUAGGCACCCAGUUUUUUCGAAAUCAAUUAUUUCUAAAAAUAUAUGCAUUAAGUAAUAAAACUAGUAUUUUCUUUUCUUUCUCUUAAUCACGUGAUUUUUUUUAUUCUUUUCUUUUUCCUACUUCUAGUCCAAAUUUUGAGGUGUAAAUACUCUUAUUAUUUUUAGCCCAUAUCAAGCCACAUCUUUUAAGAUCUUACCGAAAUCCUUACUAAUGUAAUUGAAACAUUCACGUUGAUUUCGGUUACUACUUUCCCACCUCUUCACCCUUUCUCUAAAAUAUAUUAUAAUUUUUUUUCGUAUACAGGGGGUGCCGGCCAUUGACAGGCCAACACCCAAAAUUUUUUUUUUCCCUUUUUUCUUUUUUGUAUACCAGUAUUAUACAAUUUAAAGAAAAUACACUGGUUCCAGCCAUUGACAGGCCACAACCUCAUUUCACUGUUUAUUUCAGGUUAUUUUGGUGAUUGUUUUUAAACUUGGGUUAUUUUUGUAAAUAUAAUAAUUUUUUGGACUAUUUUGUUAAAAUAGCCACAUAAAGAGGUUCGCAGAGGAUACAAACAUUCAACAUUGGAGGAACAAAAUCAGCAUAAGGAAGAAAGAAAAUCAAGCAACGAGUUGUAAAUGAAUAGAAGGGGAGACACAAAAAGAACAAGGGUUUCGGGGCAUGAUUGUGGUGAAAAUGAAAAGAAAUUUGAAGAGGAGGAGAGGAGGAAGGAAAAGAAACGACAGAACGGAAAUCGUAGCAACAAAAAGAAAACAAACGUGAAAGUCAUGAUGGAGAAAGCGGCGAAAAAAUGGGGAAGUGAGUAAAGUGUGGAACUAGAAAAACAAUUUUAUUUUUUUCUUAUUUUUAUUAUUCUUAUCUUCUUAUAAAAAAAAUAAAUUCCAAAACAAUUUAAUUAAUACCCAAUUUAUCAAAAACCCUCCAAAGGUUUAACAUAUAUUUUAAGGAGUUAAAAUUGUAAAUAAAAAAAAUACUUAAAAAGAGAAAAUAAAUUCCCACAUUGUUCACACCUGGACUCAAACUCUAGACCAAAGAUUAAGCUGCCAAAGACCUAGCCACUAACCCUGAUGGUUCAUUUUGGCACUAAAACGCAAAAAUCAACUUAACAGUCCCACAACCAACUAACCUGAAUAAUUCUAACCCAAUUCCGGGGUGUUACAUAGGCCGUGUAACUCACUAACUUGCACCCUAAGGAAAUUAUCAGAUGACACACGACCAUGUCGCCAGGUCUUAUAUUUCAAUCCUAAUCUCACUGAUUUACUGUGCAAAAAUUUAGACUUAAAAAUUUGGUUUGGGUAACAAAAGUAAAGCCCAUUUAAAAAUGGGUCGAGCCUCAAGUAAGCUUUUUUUGGCCCAAACCCGACCCGACCUAAAUUUGCAAAAAAAAAAAAUUAUUGUUAUUUCACUAUUAUAUUACUAUGUAUUAUUGUUUGGAUAUUAUAUUAGUCUUGUUUUAUUGUUAAUUUUGUUACUAUUUUAUUUUUAGAGGCACUUAUCUUAGUGUUAUUUAAGUAUAAAGACUUCUUUUUAAUUUACUUUCAAUUUGUUGAUAAACAUUUAUUUUAAUUUUUUAAUAUAUUUAAUUUAUUAUAUUUUUUAAAAUCUAUUUAUAUAUAAAAUAAUACGGGUGAAUCGAGCCGGGCUCGAGUUUUAACUUUUUUUAUCCAGACCAAGUUUGAACAAAAAUUAAGGCCUAUUUUUGGUAUCAGGUCGAGCUGGGCUGGGCUUAUAAAACAAGCUUGAAAUUUUGUUACAACCUGUCCCAUAAUCACCUCUAGUGCAGAUCAAGUCAAACUCGAAUUCUUUCAAACUUAUUUGAGUUAAAUUUUGGUAGAAAAGUAACGUUACGCUUUGAGUAAAGUCAAGUUCAGUCAAAUAACAUGCUAUAUUUUAUUUAAACUCGACCCACGAAUAAAUCUAAUGUUUCAAGAUUGGAGUGAAAUGGUUGAAUGUAGAGGUGAGCAAAAUUCGAUUCGACUCAAAAAACUCGAUAAAAAAUUUAAAUUUUGAGUUAAAAAAUUUAAGUUAAUCGAGUUUUUCAGAUCAACUCGAAUAAAAAUAUCAAAUUUUUUGGUUUAACUCGAAUGCGAAUUAUACAAUUUGAGUUAUCCGAAAAUCUGAUUAAGAAAAUGCAAAACUACGUCGUUUUGAUAAAUGUUUACAUUUUCUAGGUUAAAAGUCAAAACCAUUAAGUUAAAAGGCAAAACUAUUUUGUUUUGAUAAAUGUUUACCUAUUAAGUAAAAAGGAAAAAUCAUUAUAUUGUUUAUGUAGUUAAAUAAUCUUGUACUUCGUCUACUAGUUAAAUAAUUGAUUCAUAUAAACACAACAUUGAGCAUAAAUAAUAGGAUUUGUUAACUCGACUCGACUUGAGUCGAAUUUUUUUUACUUGACUCGACUGAAUACUCACCCCUAAUUGAAUGAACUCUAAUAAAAUACAAUAGAAGUUUAUGCCUAAUAAAAUUAAAUUUGUUAGUUUGGUAUUAGACUCCAAUUGAAAUUGCUUUUAAAAGAAAAUGUUUUAAAAUUGUUGAGGCACUUGUAAGAGCAAUGACACAAAGUAUUUACAAUUAUGUUGAUAACUGCCCAUGGUUUUAUAAUUUGGCAUAUUUGAAGUUAGCAAUUUUUUGAAACAAUAUAGUUGGGCCAUGAAUUAGUUGAUAUUAUGGACAUGUAUUAGUCCAUAUUUGAAGAUUGAUAUUAUGAAGCAACAAAUUUUUAAAGAUUGGAUUUAUUUAAAUCAAGCAAAUUGGAUCUACUAUUUUGUGGAGAUUGAUUUGAAUGGCUUCAAAACAUAUCUUAGAGAUUUUUUAUUUAAAUCAACUAAAUAAUAUUUUUAUAACACUUAAUUAAAUCAAAUAAUUAAUCUAUAUGCAAUUAAAUUAAUAUGGGAAGUCACUAAAUUAAAAAUGGAUAACGACUACUUACCCAUUUGAAGUUGUGAGAAGACCAUUGCAAUUGAGUUUCAACACAGUAGGCUAAUUCCUAGAUUGCUACAACUAAGUGGAUAUAAAGCUUUUAAUAAAAUCCUCAAAAUUGUUUCUAAAAAAUUUAAUGGUUUUCUAAUUGUGACAUGGGAAGCAACACCAAAACAUAGGGAGUUCAUCUCACAUUUAUGUUUCUAUUCUGUCUAAGGUUUUAGUGAGUGUGAUUGUGGGUAAGGAAUGGUAGUUGCCUCUGGCUAUCAGACUCAUUGAGCUAAAUACUACAUAUGAUGGUGAUAGAUGGGGCUAGAUUAGUUGGACUCUGGGUUGAUUUUAUAUGUGGUAUUAAUAUUAUAUAUAAUUAUUUAAAAAUAAUCUGGUUCUAUAAACCUUAAAUUAUACUAAAUUUGUCCAUAUCAAUAUAUAAUUAACACAAAUUUGCUGCAAGGCAUUUGCCAUGGUGGAUCACUUGAAUAAUUCACAAUAGAUGACAACCAGCUUAUUGGGCCAAUCCCUCAAGGGUUGAAAAUUUGCACUAGCUUAAAGCAAGUCCGCCUUGAAAAAAACUAACACAGAGGGAAUAUAUAUAAAUAUUGAAAAUUUGCACUAGCUUAAAGCAAGUCCGCCUUGAAAAAAACUAACACAGAGAGAAUAUAUAUAAAUAUUUAGGUGUUUACCCGAACCUAAAAUUCAUUGACUUGACAAUGAAUUUCAAGGUGUAGUGUCUUCCUAUUGGGGGUUGUGCAAAAGUUGACAUAUUUGCUUUCUCUUGGUUUGAAUGGGAAUAAACUUUUUGGUAGUGUACUGUUGGAACUAGGACUUAUGUCCAAGCUUUUGUAUCUAGACUUGUCUGCAAACCAAUAGGAUUUGUUGACUCGACUCGACUGAAUACUCACUCCUAGUUGAAUGAACUCUAAUAAAAUGCAAUAGAAGUUUAAGCCUAAUAAAAUUAAAUUUGUUUGUUUGGUAUCCUAUAGACUCCAAUUGAAAUUGCUUUUAAAAGAAAAUGUUUUAAAAUUGUUGAGGCACUUGUAAGAGCAAUGACACCAAGUAUUUACAAUUAUGUUGAUAACUGCCCAAGGUUUUAUAAUUUGUCAUAUUUGAAGUUAGCAAGUUUUUGAAACAAUAUAGUUGGGCCAUGAAUUAGUUGAUAUUAUGGACAUGUAUUAGUCCAUAUUUGAAGAUUGAUAUUAUGAAGCAACAAAUUUUUAAAGAGUUGAUUUAUUUAAAUCAAGCAAAUUGCAUCUACUAUUUCGUGGAGAUUGAUUUGAAUUGCUUCAAAAUAUAUCUUAGAGAUUUUUUAUUUAAAUCAGCUAAAUAAUAUUUUUUAACACUUAAUUAAAUCAAAUAAUUAAUCUAUAUGCAAUUAAAUUAAUAUGGGAAGUCACUAAAUUAAAAAAUGGAUAACGGCUACUUACCCAUUUGAAGUUGUGAGAAGAUCAUUGCAAUUUAGUUUCAACACACUAGGAUGGGCUAAUUCCCAGAUUGCUACAACUAAGUGGAUAUAAAGCUUUUAAUAAAAUCCUUAAAAUUGUUUCUAAAAAAAUUAAUGGUUUUCUAAUUAUGACAUGGGAAGCAACACCAAAACAUAGGGAGUUCAUCUCACAUUUAUGUUUCUAUUCUGUUCUAAGGUUUUAAUGAGUGUGAUUAUGGGUAAGGAAUGGUAGUUGCCUCUGGCUAUUAGACUCAUUGAGCUAAAUACUACAUAUGAUGGUGAUAGGUGGGGCUAGAUUAGUUGGACUCUGGGUUGAUUUUAUACGUGGUAUUAAUAUUAUAUAUAAUUAUUUAAAAAUAAUCUGGUUCUAUAAACCUCAAAUCAUACUAAAUUUUUCCAUAUCAAUAUAUAAUUAACACAAAUUUGCUGCAAGGCAUUUGCCAUGGUGGAUCACUUGAAUACUUCACAGUAGAUGACAACCAGCUUAUUGGGCCAAUCCCUUAAGGGUUGAAAAUUUGCACUAGCUUAAAGAAAGUCCGCAUUGAAAAAAACUAACUCAGAGGGAAUAUAUAUAAAUAUUUAGGUGUUUACCCGAACCUAAAAUUCAUUGACUUGACAAUGAAUUUCAAGGUGUAGUGUCUUCGUAUUGGGGGUUGGACAAAAGUUGACAUUUUUGCUUUCUCUUGGUUUGAAUGGGAAUAAACUUUUUGGUAGUGUACCGUUGGAACAAGGACUUAUGUCCAAGCUUUUGUAUCUAGACUUUUAGGUUAAAAUAAUCGGCUAAAUAUCUCUAUUAGUACUUGUAUUUUAUGAAAGUUGCAGAUUUAGUCCCAAUACUUUAAAUUGGAUUUGGUUUAUAAAUUAUACUAGAUUAGGUUUAUAUUGGGUAGGACUUAGGAGUGCUGGGGUGAGCAGCUGGUUGGGGAUUAGGUUGGCAGUAGGCUAAGCCUAAUAUGUAACGCCCCAAACUUUUAAUUUUUGGUAUUGUGAAUGUGUGACACAAAUAUCUGUUAGCUUUAGUGGUUAAGUGCUUUAGGUGUGUGUCGGAGGUCCCAAGUUCAAGCCAUGACUUGGACAAAUUUUAGCAUUUUAUAAAUAAAAACUUAACCUAGCCUAAAGGGCUUAAGUUUAAUAGUCGGUAAUAAAUAACAAAAUGAGCCUACUGGUUUAAUGGUUAUGUGGAGUGUUUAAUUGUAUGAGGUCUUGAGUUCGAAUCCAUGUUGGAGUGUAGGCGUUAUUUUUGCACAGUGAUGGACAAGUAUUUCGGCAGAUUGGGAUUCUAGAGUGGUUGUAGGUUAGUAGGAUUAGUGGAGGAAAUUAAGGGAUAAUGGGAGUAGUGGUGAGAUAAUUAAGGGAUAUUGGGAUUCUAUCAAAAUCUUUUUGCUAAUUUCGGUUCAUCAAAAAUUCUAUUCCCUCUUCUCCAAAAUUUCUUCCAUCGUUCUGACGUUUAUUCACCCUUUUUCUGCCGAAUUUUCAUUGUUUCCUCCCUCUUUUCUUUUGAUUUCUUUUAUGCCUCCAUCGUACUCGAUGAAUGAACUCGCUCGAUUCGAUAAGUAUUCGUUUUGCCACUUUCUCUCGUUCCAUGGUUGGUUUUCUAAAAAAGGGUUGUUUUGGUUCUUUCGGAUUAGGUCAAAAUCAAGUAGCUGUAGGUGCUUUUGCAGAGAUUUGAAUGUUUGAGUUUUCGGUUUGUUGCCGGUAAGUGUUUAGGUUCGCUAUCGAUUUUGAUGUAGACGAUUUUCAGUUGUGAGUUUUCAUUAGUGAUCUAAAUUGGGCUCUAAUUAUUGAUUUUAAGGUCUUAGAGUGCUUGGGAGUGUAUUUGCAACGAAACGAUACCAGGUGUGUACCCGAAACACAAAAAUAAGAGAUUCGGCGAAAAGCCAAAAUUGCUUGCUGUUUGGACAGCAACAGUAGGCUAACUUUGAAAAAUCACCAUAAAUUGUGAAAAUUGAAAUAGAGGAUGAAAAAUAUGUGUGAUUAAAUAUAUUUGAGUCUAUUUUCUCAUAGAAGAAAUGAAGUAAGUAAAAGAAUUUGAUAUUAUGAGAUAUUUUAAUUUUAGUGAGACAAGGUCAGAAUGAUUUCAGAAUCCCCUAUCCUGACUUUGGAAAAUUAUUAAAAAUUGUAUAAAAAUAAUUAUGGGUUAAAAUUUAUAUGUUUGAAAUUUUGAAUGAGUCUAUUUUCAAGAGAAAUAAAUGGAAACAUCAUUCGAAUUCUGUACGAGAAGAUAAUUAAUUUUUAGUGCAGAAAGGUUGAAAUUGUCAAAUAACAGAAUAUGAAAAAAUUUAAAGAAUAAACUGUACUUAUUGGCUACACCAAAAAUUUUGAAAAUUUUAUGGUAAGAAGAUAUACAAGUCUAGUUUUACAGAAAAUUUACAGAUAUUAAUUUGGAAGUUUUUAGCUUAAGAUACAAAUAAUUUAGUAACAGCGACUCAAGUAGAUAGCUUUGAAGGGUUAUAUAGGUAAAUAGUAAAAAACACAUAUGAAUAAAUAACUAGCACGGGUUACAUUAAAAUGGAUCAUGAGGCCAAGUCCAAUUUGGUUCAUGUGGGCCACACGGGCGUGUGGGUAACAUCAUGGGCUUGUAGGCCCAUUUUCACUGUUUGACUGAUAAGGUUGCACGGGUCGCCCAAGUCGACUGUGAACCUAAUGUAGGGUCGGUAAGUUUACCUAGACCCCUAAUUGACUGAAAUGACUAUAUGACUGAUAUGAUUAAGCAUGAUGAUGUCCCACUGAUUUGAUAGUGUAUGCCCUGUUUACAUGCGUGAUAUUAUGAUAUAGCAUGUUAUAUUUGUAUAUUGCAUUGCAUUGGGUUAGAGGAUUAUAAUGUUUGGAGGAAGUGAACUGAAAGUCCUCGAGCCUAAUUUACUGGUAGCUCAGCUGCAAACUACUGUCUAGUGCCGCAUUCGGUACUACUUGGAGUGUAGGGAUAGGUGGGUUGAUUAUAUCCCCACAUGGAGUGUAGGGCUGGAUGAAGAUGGUGUGUAGAGGCUGGAUGGGUAGGAUUUUUGUGACUACAUAUUUUUCACUGCUACUGAUACUGUGAUAGGCUAAAGCCCUACUACAUGACUAUUUUGUACCGAGAUGGGCUAAGGCCCAAACUGGACUGACACUGAUACUGAAAAGGGCUUAAGCCUAGAUUGUGAUUAUUUGUUUACUGUCUGUUCAUUUGUAUGGGGAUUACACACUAAGUUUACGUAAACUCACCCCUUCUGUUUAAUCUGUACAGGUAAUCCCCAGACAUAGGCAGAUCGGUGCAGCGGAGGACUCAAUGGUGGCCACACGACUUCUUUUACAUUGUUUUCUACCUAUUAAUGAUUUUACUUAUUUUUGGGAGUAUUUUGUUGUAAUUAUGGCCUUUACGAAUUUUGGUUAAAAUUUGGAUUUUAUACGGUUUUAUGAUUUAAAUCUGUUAGUGUUAGGUAAAACUCGGGAUUUCAAAUGAAAUUAAUGUUUUAUCAAAAAUACCACGAAUAAGCAAACUGUUUAAAACCUUCUGCAAUAAAAAUAAAAAAAAAACGUUGUGAAAUUGAAUAACAAUUUGUAAAUGAAUAAUGUUUUGAAAAUGAACGACACGAUUUGGUGACUCCAUUGGGGAUUGGUUUUGAGAGUCAAGCCACAAAUUGAUUAAUUUUUGCCUUUUUGUCAAAAAAUCAAAAUUUAUUUUAAAUUCACGAUAUUUCCUUUUGCAUUUUAUCCAUUAUUUUCAUGGUGUUGUCCAAAUCUGUCAAUGUGUAUCUGCAUUUUUGCAUUGCAUAGGUUGGGCAAUCUUACCCCUCUAAGUGGGAGUGAGAAACUAGUCCUUCGUGAGGUUUUCACCUCCAUGCAGGAUAGUGGAUCGCUUUCGAAAUACAUUCGUACCUAUGUCUUCGUGAGAUUUUCAUCUCCGUGCAGCCAUAGAAAAAUGUAUUCCCCUGAACUGAACUCAGUCUAUAUGAGCCUAUAAUGGGUGGGGAUCGAGGAAUCUGCUGGUCAGGUACCUUUUCUUUAGAAUCGAACCGCAUGUAGUAAGCCCUAAGAGUCAACCCUAGGUACAACCAGUCCAAACCCCUAGUGGUCACCCAAAUAGGUGCUAUUUAUUUUUUGCUUGCUUUUGCCUUGUACUAACCUGUUUUGUUGUGGUUAUGCUUGCAUUGCAUUUUCAUCAUAAAAAAAGAGGUGUUGAUUCACGUUCGAUUACUAAAUAGAUAGCUUGACAUGGAGAAUGAAUUUCUUGAUAAAAUGGAAAAUAAUACGGUUGCCCGAAUAUGUUCUGAGAAAGCACAAUGUGAGAAAGAUGAUAGUCUAACGAAGGAGCACACGACUUUGCUUUGUUGUCUGAGGAUUCAAGUUGACAAAGAGUCAUCAACUCCCUACCUUUUUUUAAAAAGAAGCUAACGAGUAUCACGAUGAUGAGUGAGCAAUGAGUCAUAGCCCGGAUCAAGCAAAAAGGAGCUAGUAGAGGCAUCCAUUAGAAAAUUUGCAAGAUUUAUCUUAACAUCCAGAUGAAGAAAAAGAUUGAUGUCUUCGCCUGGAGUAUGAGGGCAAAGCCGUAUAUAUAUCCACUUUAUGUAAUGAGAUUUGUUUUCUAGUAAAGUUGUUCUAAUAGAAUUGAACCAAGAAUCAACGUCUCUUUUUUGCAUUCAUUUCCUGCAUUUGCAUUACAUUACAUUAUAUGCAUUAAAGUCCACCAAAAGAUCCUAAUUGAGUGAAAUUAUUUCAGUUAAUCUGGAAAUCAGAAAAACCUACUAACCAAACAUUGUUACUGCACCCCAGUAAAAGCUAAAGGAAUGGACCAAAGGUUGGAGAGAUUAGAGCAAAUGGAAAUAUAGAUGCAAGAGCAAUUAACCAAAUUUCAACAAGAUAUGAAUGAUCAAAUGCUAGAAUUCCAAAGAAAUAUGAUAAGCCAAUUAGCCCAGUUAUUGGCUAAAGGGUUAGAAAAAAGGAAAUCCAGUGGUCCACUUUGGGGAUGAUAAUGAGGACCCUGCAUAUCCUCCAGGCUUUACCCCAACAAAGACCCAAGCACAACCAAGUGCAUACUUACAAAAGAUAACUGUUAACAUCUGAUCCCAAUACCAGACUAAUACCUCGACACCAGUGAAUUUUUCGACAUGCUCAGGUUCCAACCUAAAGGAAAAUCUAACUAAUCCUGUUGCCAUUGAUGACCUAGCAGAAAAAAAAAGGCAAGAGUGGAGUUCCCAAAACAAUUUGAAGAUCAUUACAAAAGGAAAGGGCAAGAGUGGAACUCCCAAAUCAAUACUUUAAAGGCCCUGAGGAAAAGGAAAAAUGAGUUGAAUAAUGAGAGUAAGUAUAAGAAGGGCUAUUCAAAGCCGAUUACCACAAGCCAGCCAAUGACGGUUACUACUAGCCAUCAGAUCCCCCAAGAAAAAAAUUUGGCACAAAGCAAAACAUUGAGAAGCUCCAAUUUGCACCAACCCCAAUGUCGUAUCGAGAUCUGUAUCAGAUUUUAUUUGAUGCACACGUUGUUUCCCCUUUCUACUUGAAGCCCUUACAAUAUCCGUAUCCUAAAUGGUAUGACGUGAACGCACAAUGUGACUAUCAUGCGGGAAUUACGGGGUAUUCUAUAGAAAACUACACUGCCUUUAAAAAGCUGGUCGAAAGGUUUAUCAAUAUGGGCAUUAUCAAAUUCGAUGAUUCCUUAGUAUAGAAAAUCCGCUACGCAAUCAUAUUGAUAAUGGGGUGAAUGAGAUAAGUGAAGAAAUGUUAGGAAACGUUCACAUCAAUGUCGCAUACGAAGAAACAACUGAAGAAGGGACCUUAUUAGAUAUUCGCCUUUAUCUUGGGAAUGUUCUAAAUAAUUGGACUGUAGAAGAAACCCUAGUAGUAUUUACAGCUUACUCAAAGUAAUAUUAAAAACACACUUGUUGCUUUUAGCCUAGAGGCAAUAAGAACUCCUUUGUGAAAUAGACUCAUGUCUGAAAGUCAUUAUUUUAAUGAAAUACAUGUUUGCAAUCAUUUUUGAGCCAAUAUUCUUUCAUUCUUUAUGAAUAAUUAUUUUUUAUUCUUUCAUUCUUUUAGAUUUUCUUCAAAAUCAUUCUUUCAUUCAUUCAUAAUCAUACUGUACAAGUAAUUAUUCAUAAAUUCAUAUAUUCUUUGAAUAUUCUUUAGUACCUACAAUAGGUCCCUAGAUAUCAAUGACAUGAGUGAUGCUGCUAUAGACUCAGAAUCUCCUUUUGAGCGAGACAUGGGUUUAGAAAGAUCUAAUGACCUUAAAGAUGACAUAGAAUGUAGCCUAUCUCUGGGCUUGUUAAUGAUGGUAGAACAGGAAGAGAAACAAAUUUUACCUCAUGAGAAGACAAUGGAGAUUGUGACCUUGAAGGAGGGAAAAGUAGUAAAAAUUAGAACAUACAUAGCCAAAGAAAUGAAGCAAGACCUUGUUGAGCUAUUUCAAGAGUUCAAAGGUGUCUUCUCAUGGUCAUACCAAUAUAUGCCCGGGUUAAGCACUGACAUUGUAAUUUGACAAUGCAUUAAUUUUGAACAACGGCACGAUAUCAGAAAUUUAUAGUAUGUUUAAGAUUAACAUCAUGAACGAUGUAGUAAAAAAAAUUUCUACUGGAGCAACACAUUUCUUUUUGGCGUAUCACAGCUUUGCUCAUUGAAGUUGAGUUUCCAUCUAUCAGAGUUUUUGUUGGAUUUUAUCCCGAUUGAAGAGGAAGAUCCAAAGUUUUUCAUCAUAGUCAAAUUUUAACCUCAGAAAGCCCUGUGAGAGAAAUCUAAUACCAAGGAAGAUUCUUUGCAUACAAAAUGAAAGUGGAUGGGAAGGAUCUUGUGUGGAAGACUCUGUCUGGAAAAGCAUUGAUUCUGAUCGAAAGGGAUAACAAGGACUUGCCUAAUCCUAUGAGUUUCAAAAAAAAUAAAAAAUAAAAAAAUAAAAAAAUGAAAAUGAAAAUGAUGAAAAAAGAAAAGGAAAGAGAAGGAAAAAGAAAAAGAAAAGAAAAAGGAGAGGCCAAAGCAAAAACCCGCAAAGGGCGCUUUGAGACCAAAGGGGAUUUGAGUUGAAAACUCGAAAAGGGCGGCUCAGAUUUUGAGCAAAGUGGGGCAUGGAUGUCAUCGGGCCAAUAUUACCGAAGGCUUCUAAUGGGCAUCGCUUAAUUCUUGAGGUCAUUAAUUACUUCACCAAACAGAUAAAGGAUGUUUCAUAUGCUAACGUCACCAAAUCAGAAGUUAACAAAUUCUUGGGAAAAAAAGAUCAUAUGCUGGUAUGGAAUGCCGAAGAGGAUUAUAUUGGACAACGCAUUGAAUCUAAACAAGAGUACGAUAGUUGAGAUCUAUAAUUAAUUCAAAAUUAGACACUAUAACUUGUCACCGUAUUGCCCAGAAAUGAAUGGUGCAUUGGAGGCGGCCAACAAAAAUAUCAAGAAAAUUGUGGGAAAAAUCACUGAAACUUACAAAGACUGGCUUGAGAAAUUACCAUUUGAUAACUUACAAAGACUGGCUUGAGAAAUUACCAUUUGAUCUCAUUGCUUAUCGAACAUCUAUCAGGACUUCUACCGUGGCAACUCCUUUUUUUCUAGUUUACGGGAUGGAGGCAGUUUUACUCAUUGAAGUUGAAAUCUCUUCUCUCCGGCUAUUAGCUGAAUUAAAGAUGGAUGAGGCUGAAUAGAUCCAAUCUCGAUAUGAUCAGUUGAACCUGAUAGAAAGAAAAAGGCUAAAAGUUAUUCAUCACGAUCAGGUGUACCAAAAACGAAUGAUGCGAGCCUAUAACAAAAAGAUUCGUCCUAGAGAAUUCCACGAUGGGGACCUGGUGUUGAAAAAAGAUCUUUCCUUUACAAAAAGAUUUUAGAUGGAAAUGAAUGCCAAACUGAGAAGGACCUUAUGUCGUCAAGAAGGCAUUUUCUAGAGGAGCAUUGAUCUUAAGUGAGUUGGAUGGUAAAAACUUACCUAAUCCUGUAAACUUAGAUUCAGUUAAGAAAUAGUUUACCUAAAGAAGGAGAAGGGACCAAGGUGAAAACCCGCAAAGGGCACCUUGAGUCCUUAAAAAAAAGACCAAGGUGAAAAUCCACAAAGGACGCUUUGAGUUUAAAAAAAUAAAUGGAAAAAGUAAAAUAGAGAGGCCAAGGUGGGCGCCUUGAGACCAAAAGGGAUUUGAGUUGAAAACCUGAAAAGGGCGAGUCAAAUUUUGAUCAGAAUGGGACAUGAGGUGAUCAGAGCAGCUCAAUUUUGAUCAUAUUGGGGCAUGUGGUGAUGUUGCUAUACUUGAAUCAACAGGAAAGGGUAGGCAACAUCUUGGGGGCAUCAACAAAGUACUGUAGAUCUCUUAAACACAUGUCAAACUCAGAAUGGUCUUCAGAUUGUUGUACAGAGAAGUUCAAGCUACGAUAUCUGGGGCACCUAGUCUUCAUACUAUUUAUAUUGAAAUUUUUUCUUAGAAUACUUCAUUCUUUUUCAAGAUACAUGUUCCGAGUCAUUUCUAUUUCAUUUCCUUGAUAAUUUAUUCAUUUCGAGCCAUGCUCCCAAAUCAAUUCUAUUUUACCCAUUGUUAUGAUCUCUUUGCAAGCAUGUUGCAUUAGAAUAAUGAUUAAUGGACUAAUAAUACUGUCGCAAGGGAAGUUUUGCAUAUUACUCUAGAAGUUUCUAAAUAAUACAAGAACCUAAAAUAGGGCUAUUGUUUAGAACGCACCAAGUUUAAAGGUUGAAAUAUCUAAAAAGGAAAAGUCUAAGAUUAUCCCUUCGGAUUUUAUUGUCAAAACAUUAAUUGAACAAAACGACAAGAUAUCAUGUUGGUGAUAAAGCUUCAAUGAACAAGCAAGCAAUGAUCAUCGAGUAAUAAAAAGAGGUUUUUCUUGGAGAAGAAAAUUCUACAAUUGUGCAUAAACAUUUGGUAUGACACCUUGGAAAUGGUGCAUGAGACCAAAGAAAUUUAGAUCCUGUAUCCUUGAAUUACAGUAGGAGAGGAUUGAGAAAGAGCCAGAUCUUAUACUCCUAAUUUACAAUGGGAGGAAGAUGGUUCAAAUUUUAUGUCCCAAAGGUACAGUUGAUUGAGCCUUAAAGAUUACAGUGGGGGCAAUUCGAUUAAGUAAGAUAUGAGUGUUACCAAAAGAAUAAGAUUGCGUUCUGACGUGUUGGUAAUAAAGCCUUAAUGAACAACAAACAACAACAACUCAAACAUUAAGGGAUCAUUUUUAUGACAUUUCGCAUUCAUGCAUACACAUCUAGUUAGGAGAUUUUGAUUCAUUUUGAUCAUAACAUCCUAAUCGCUAGGCAUGAAUAGGCCCAUGAAAUGGAUUCUACAGGUCAUAUUCCCCAAAGAACAGAUUGGUGAAACCACAAAUCCUAUACCGUUGAAGUUGCAGUGAGAUGGAUUAUAAGUUAUGGUAAAUAUUAUCUUCCUGAAGUUACAGUGGAGUAGAUUGAAGCCAUCAGCCUUAUUUCCCUGAAGUUACAGUGGAGCACUCUGAAGACAUCGAAUCUUAUUUCCUUAGCGUUAUAGUGGAACAGAUUAAAGCUACAAAUUAUGGCGAAUCUUAUCUUCCUGAAUUUGUAGUGGAACAGAUUGAAGCCAUCAGCCUUAUCUCCCUGAAGUUGCAGCGGAACAAACUGAGGACAGCGAAUCUUAGUUCCCUAGCGUUGCAGUGGAAUAGAUUAAAGCUACAAGUUAUGGCGAAUCUUAUCUUCUUGAAGUUGCAGUGGAGCAGAUUGAAAUCAUCAGCCUUAUCUCUAUAAAGUUACAGUUAAGCAGACUGAAGACAGUGAAUCUUAUUUCCCUGGCAUUGCAGUAGGGUAGAUUGAAACGACAAAUUCCUAUACCCCUGAAGAUGCAGUGGAAUGGAAUAGGACCUCUUAAAGAGAAGAAGCAUCAAGGAGUCGAGGCUCGGUAGGACCGGGCAAAAUUGGCCUUUUUUAGUCUUUGCUCCAUUCUCGUUAUACGACAACGAGCAAAGAAAGGGCAGCUGUAAGGCCCAAUUUUUGCCCGAGCCCACAACCAAAUAAUAAAGUAAAUAAAAAAAAUUAAAAAACCAAAUAAAAAAGAAUAUAUAAAAGUCCAAUAAAUUAAUGUCCAGAUGACAAAAUGCCUGUAUGGCCCAAUAAUACCCAAACCUGUUUCUAGCCCAAAACAAAACAAAAAAAACCCUAGCAGUAGCAGCAACCUUCUGCCUCUAAGCCGCAACUGAACCCAAGCCCCUGCGCGUGUUGCGCCUCUGCGCUCGUGCGCCCUUCCAAAUGUGUACUUGCAGCAAAGGGGCAGCAAAGAAACAUGUCUGCUAAUAACAAAAAAAAGGGAACGAAAUAUAUCUUUGUAAUUUUUAUUUUAUUUUCGGCUAUAAAAAGGUCGUUUCAAAUCUGUAAAAGGGGGAUUUUUGAGGAAUCGAUGAAAAAUAGAAAAAAUUGAUAUCGAGAAAUUUUAUAUUGAAGGUAGAUAUUUGUUUUUUUUUCUCUAUUCUUUUUUGUUCCAAUUUAUUUUUCUAAAAAGGGGUAAAACAAUAAGUAAAAAAAGAGAGAAGUUUACCUGGUUGCCUUGUGACGACCGACCCUCAGUCCCGCUCGUAAACGGGCUAAAAAACCCAAUAUAGUGCAGCUCUGACCACCGUGCAUAGUGGAAUCACGGUGGCGAUGAGGCGGACUGGCGGCGGCUUGGGCAGGGUAUAAAACCCUAGCAGAGAAAGAGAGGAAUCAUUUUUUUUGGAACAUAUGCUGCUCAUGUUUUUUUAAAGAAAAUUUUGUUUAAAUAAUAACCCAAUACGACGCCGUUUUGAGACAAGGGCACCAGCGCCAAAAUGACACCUUUGGUCUAUUAACCCGCGCGGUGACCCGACCCAGGGGAAGGAUCCGCGUGUUUUUACUUCAGUGGGAUAUUUGCGCAAAUGGUCCUCUGCUUCUAUAGCGUAUUCAGAUCAAUCUUUUUAUUUCUUUUAAAUUUGGCCUGACAUUUUAUUUUUGCUGCAUUUUAGCCCAUAUCACAGUGUUGCGUUUUGGGAGGAUGGGGAAUAUUUCCCAAUUAGUCCCCCAUGUUAUUCGUGCACUGCAUUUUCGCCCUUCAAUUUUUUUUUUCAUUUUUUCUUUCUGAUUUUGUUUUAAAACCAAUUUAAUCCUUAUUAGCUUGAUUUAAUUAGCUCUUUUUUUAAUUUAUUUAAGUAUUUAUAUUUCAUUAUUUUUUGAUAUAUUUAAUUUUUAAAUCUAACUCUAUUUUUUGCAUUUGUGCUUAAUAUUAUUCUAAAUCCAUUAUGAAUUUUUUUAAAUUUAUCUCAUAUUAUUAUUUUAAAUUUAUCAUAUAAUUAUUUGAAGUUUUCAUGUAUUAUUAUUCAAAUUUAUUAUGUAUUAUUCUACAUGUUUAUAUGUAAACUUAAUAUUAUUUAUACACAAUUUAUAUUAUACAUAUUAUACAUAUAUGAUAUAUUAUUGAUUCCAUAUUAUUAUAUUUUUCCUUAUUCUCAUAUAUGUAUAAUUUAUUUCUUUUUUUAAAAAAAAACCUACUUUCUUAUAUUUCACCCAUUUCAACUUUUUUACAUGUAUUAUCAUAUAUAUUAUUAUUUAUUUUGAGUUUUUCAUUCCAUAUGUAUUAUUUAUUUAGAUUAACAUAUAUAUAUAUAUAUUAUUUUAUAUAUUACUUAUUUUGAUUUUAUUCAUAUGUAACAUUUACUUUAAAAUUUAUUUAGAUAUUUUUGUUUCACAUAGUAUAUAUAUUUUUUAACUCCAUUUUUGAUCUAUUUUAAAUUUUCUUACAUAUUAUUUGUUUUAAAUUUUUGUACGUACAUUUUUUUGGUUUACAAUUUCCUUUCUUUCAUGUUUUUUUUUUUCAAAACUUGUACAUUGGGUUGGUGUUUAUGUUAAUUUGCUUGUUUCUUAGUUUUUUUAUUAGCUUUUAAAUAUUAAUGUUGAUAUUUACAUGUGAUGUGAGAUUAUUGCCUUUAUGUGUAUGGUAUUUGUUUACUGUUAUUUAUUGAUUAUUUGUGUUCAUUAACAUAUAUUGUGGUUUACGAAUUAUCACCUCGCGUCAUACAUUGUUAUUCCAUUGCGUUUUAUUUGUUCAAAAAGUUGUGUUUAAUAUGGUUUAAGUUUUGGGAAUCAAUUUAUUCAAAAGCUUUCAAGAUAACGCAAUACUCGGUACUUAGGAUCUUCGAGAGCAUUGAUCCCUAACUUAUUGGGUUCCAAUUUUUCUCAUUAAAUCUAAAUAAUCGAGAAUAUUCUUCAAUCAAAACACAUAAAUAAAACGUUCCCGAAGAUUUGAUACGUUGUGUCCUAACUUAUUGGAUACGGUAUUUUGUUUUCUCGAGAUGAGGAUUUUUUUCUAAACAAUAAUAAAUGCAAUAUUCAAUGUUCGAAAUUUUGAGAAAUCGUACAUUUACUUAUUGGGCUUCAAUUUUUCAUCUGACCUAAACAAUUGAAUAUCAUUUUUAAACUUCACUGCAUGAGUUUCAAAAAUCAAAAGACAAGCUCAUUUUCGAGGAUGCAAAACAUCACAUCCUAACUCAUUGGGUGUGACAUUCUAUCUCCCGAAAUAAGAGGGUCUUAGCAUGCAUUUUGAUUUAUACAAGUUUUUUUUUAAAUAAAAGGAUCGUAUUUUUAAUCUUUUCGAUUUUUUGAUAUUCGGCAUUAAGACAUUAAUUAAUCAACUAGGUACCAAUUUUAGGCAUAUCGAGGGUACUAAUCCUUCCUCGUCCGUAACCGACUCCUGAACCCGUUUUUUGGAUUUUGUAGACCAAAAAUUAUCAUUUUAGUAAAUUUAAACUUUUAUUAAAAUGAUUAAAUUAUGAGAUGAUUCGAUCACACCUAAAUAAAAAAAAUUGGUGGCGAUUCCAUUUUUGUUUUUUAAAUAAAAGGUCGACCCCUUUUAUCAAAAAAUGGUUUUGACAAAGAUAAUAAAAAAUGGUUAAAUAGAAAAGAGGAUUUAGCGACGACAUAUUUAAUGAUGACAUAAGAUAAUAACGUCUAGACCGGAUUUGGGGAGUUACAUUUAAUGGUAUCAAAGCCAGUUACAAAACUCAGCUAUGGAUGUGGGUUUUUAAGACGUGAUUUCUGAGAACUGAUUUUUAAAUGUUUUUAAUGAAAGUGUGGUACACCGAGUCUCCGGCAUCGAUCCAGUAAGUUUUCUGAAAGCAUGAAUUGAUUAAACUGAAACUGAAAUUGUCUUUGAUAGUAUAUCCUAAAACUGUUAUAGAUAGUAUAUACUAAUACUACUAUAGAUAGACUAUACUGAAAACACUUAAAAUAGUGUAUACUGAGACUGUAGUAAAACUUAUAGACAUUGAUUGACACUGUGAUUGAUGAAAAAACUUUAACACUUCUGAUACUAUUUUUUAAAAAAUAUCUGUUAAUAAACACUGAAACUGAAAUUGUAAAUUGAUGCAUAAAACUAUUAAUACCGAUAAAACACAAUUAGACAAUGAGCACCGGAGGUACUCGCAGACGGAGUACUAGAGGCCAAGGUAAAGGCUGUAGAAGGGCUCGAGCUGAGUCCUCGUCAUUGCACAGUCUGCCAAAUUUGGAUACGAGUGAGAUGCCAGUGUCGCCUGCUACUGAGACUAGGUCUCAAGAUCUCAUGGUUGGGGACGAUGCAUUGUCUUAAGCUAUCCUAAGGAUUUUGGAGAGGGUCGCUGGGCCUAAUACUGGAUUUGGGGGCCGAGGGUCAGUUACGAAACUACUCCAGUCCAAUGGAGCUGAGCUCUUUAGGGGUGUCACUGGGGUCACCUUAAUGUAGCCGAGUAUGAGGUCGAGUUUUUGAGACUGAGCCACUAUGCGCGAGGUAUGGUGGCAUCUGAGUAUGAGCGAUGUGUCUGCUUUGAGGAUGGCCUUAGAGAUAAUUUGAGAGUUCUGAUAGCCCUGCAGGGGGAGUGAGAUCUUUUUGCCCUGUUCGAAAAGGAAAAAAUCGCCGAUGAGGAUAUGGAGGUAGUCAUGAUCGGAGAAUGUCAGAACUACUUAUCUAAUGUGAUCUCUGCACUGGUGGCAGAGAAUUUGGUUCGUAAGGGAUGUGAGGUAUUCUUGGCCUAUGUAAGUGUUUCAAAUUCUAAGGACUUUACAAUUAAGGAUAUCAGAAUGGUAAAGGAUGUUCUAGACAUCUUUCCUGAUGAGGUAUUGGGUUUACCUCUGAAUCGUGAAGUGGAAUUUGGGAUAGAGCUCCUUCUUGGUACAGCUCCAGUGUCCAUCGCUCCCUAUAGAAUUGCCCCGAAGGAGCUUGUGGAGCUUAAGGCUCAGAUUCAAGAGCUUAUUUAGUAGAAAAUUCAAAUUUCUUAAAUUAUUUAGGGCUAAUAUGCAAAAUUGCAUGAAAUUUGAAAUUUACCACUAUACUUCACUCUCAUCAAUAUUUUAAAAUUUUAAAAUUUUUUAUAAGGCCAAAAUAACAAUUUCCCAUUUUAGGGGCCCGACCCCCUGCCAACCCCCUGGAUUCACCUCUAACCACGAAGAUUUAAUUUAAUUUAAUUUAUUUGAAGGGCAAGAGAGAUGGCAUUAAGAAAGCUGAAUAAAGUGCAUAAUCACAAUACUAUAUAGUUUUAACUUUGUCAAUAUUUUGGUAUCCAAAAAGAAAGCACCCAAUUACAUCAACAACUUAAAAGUUUUAACCAAAAUAAUUGACGGCAUCUUCAAAGUCUCUCUUCACCAUCAACAUGGGGCUUGACUCAACUCUAUGCAUCAACACGUUCUAGCUAAGGCCUAAAAGGGAGGGGAAAAAAUAUGAGAUUAGGAAUGUAAUUUUAUAUCAUUGCAGCGAAAAUUGAAGGCUUAAGGGACAAAAACCAAAAAAGGCCCCUACACUUUUCCAAAAAAAUAAUUGAACCCCUAGAUGUUAGGAUUGUAAUAAAUUAAACCCUUUUAUCAUUAAAGUUAUCCAUCAAAUUUACAAAGCCAAAAGUGCCAUUUUUUUUUGCUAGUUGUUUUCACCACAUGGCACUAAUAUGAAAGUAACACCAAUCAUGAGUAGUGGGAGAGACGAAGGUUAUCAAAAGUAAUUGGAGGGCAUGGAAGUCAAAUAGAAGUUACAACCUAAGUAAUAGUUUGGUCAUAGGUAGGCCUGCUCACAAGUCGAGCCUAGACAGGAUACUAACACAUUUCACGUUUGGCAGGGCCCCUAACCCAUCACAAAAUAUGGGCAAUAUCAUUCGACUAGACCCAACCCUAAUUACCAAAAGGGAGCCAUGAUUGGCCCAACACAACCCACCCAAUUUCAUUUUCUAAUUUUAUUUAACUGGCAGUCAAUUUGUUUACUUAUUGUUCAAGGUUAUCAUAGUCCUUAUCAAUAUUGGCAUUUUUAUUUAUGGUAUCCAUCACCGACAAAAGGACAUCAUUUUACUAAAUCUUCACUUAUAGGUAAUGACCUCACUCUGAUAUUUUAUGUAGAAACAUUAUCAUAGUCUACCAACUUCCUAAGUAGGAAUUUAAGCCUUUGUUUAGAUCAGGAUAUUUUAUUUUCUUGUUGGAACAGAAAGCUGGAUGCAACUAUUGAGGGUAAUGCAAGACAGAACUUGAGUUCUAGUUCUCUAAAGGUGCUAGGAGCCUCGUACCCAUUUAAAACAACAAAUAGAGCAGACAUUUUCACACAAUGCAAAUUCGACGUCUGAUUCGUCUACUCCAUACCUUAGCAUUACUCAAGUUUUAUACAGGAAGUUCCAAGCUCACUAUCAACUUCUUAGCGACAACAAGAGCAAACAAAAUACAAUGACAAGCAGUAUUGGCAAAUGAAAAAUCUAUCAAUUUACAAGGAUGGGAAUAAUUAAGAUGUGGUAGUGAUGUGAAGGGGGCACUAACCUUCUUUUAGAGCAAACCAAAUGUAAUGGCAAGCAACAUUGGCAAAUGAAUAAUUAUGAUGUGGUUGUGAUAUGAAGGGGGCUCUAAAGUUCAUUAAGAAAAACUAGAUAUUAGAAAUGUCUUCGGGAUAUGGAACAGUAAUGGCAGAUUGAUGCUCUGUAACUGCAUGAAUCCUUCCCUAUUCGUUGCACCAAAUAUUAAAUCUUAUGUACUCACAACCUUUGUAGAGAUGGUUGACCCAACCCAAAAUAAGCUUGUCAUUACCCAAAUGAUACAGAGUGCUUUCCAGUGGUGGAGCCACUGGAAAUUUUGAUGACCAUUUGACGAGCAAAUGUUUUUUAUCAAGCAAAUUAUAUGCCUCUAAAGAACAUUUAUAAAUGAAAGUAUACAGCACAUCGUCCACGAUUGUCGCUGAGUCAGACUUUAACAAAAUUUUUGUUCGAGGCAAACCCAUGAUUUACGAUCAUAGUAAUAAGCAUAAAGAGUAUCACUGUUAUCGCAGUGCACCAAAAUCUGAGAUCAGGAAAAAUCUAGAACAGGAACACCUAUAACACAUAUAUCGAUAGCUUCCAGAGGGGGCGACAAUGGUAAAGAUAUUGUUAAUUUCUAACUAUUUGUAUUUUAAAACUAUUUAUUAAUUAUGAUUAUUUUUAAUGAAUAUAGAAUAAUAUUAUUUUGUAUCAAAUGUUAGAGAUGUUUUGAAAUUUGAUCAGUCAAUUGAAUCAGGAGUUGAUAGGUAUACUAAUUUGAAUGAGACAAAAAAUCAGUUAGCAUGUUGACAUGAACAAAUUGAAUCGAAUUAAAUUGACUUAAUAUGAUGGUUUAGAGUAUUAAAAAAGAUGUGAAACUGUGAAGCUUAAAGUUUUGGGGUUUUUUUUUGUUUAUUCAGUAAUUAAAAAUGUUGAUUUUUUAAGCUGAUAGCUUUGUGUAUUUCUCUAUAUAUAUUUCUUUGCAUGUGCUUUCUGCGAUAAUUAUAUUUGUAGGUGUUUAGGUAGCCCCCAAAAUCCAACAUUAUUUUUUAUACGAGUUUCCUUUUGUGAUUUUCACUGCACUUUUCUCUAUUCACAUGGUUUCCCUUAAUUGGUUAGAUGCGUUGAAGUUGGACUCCCGACUUUGAUAGCAGUGAUAUUCCUUUCUCAAAAUUUUGACAGCAACUGGUGCUUAUGAUAAUAGUGCUUAAAAAAUUGAGUUCACCUGUCGUACCGAUCGUUCUAGCCUCAUUAAUGUUGCAUCUUAUCCUUCAGGAAAGCUAAUUCAAAUUGAGCAUGCCUUGUCGGCAAUCGUAUCGGGUCAAACAUCUCUUAGAAUCAAAGCUGCUAAUGCGGUAGUAAUUGCUAUUGAGAAGAAAUUGCCUUCGAUCUUGGUUUAUCUGUUAAGAAAAUACAGUGUCUGACACCAAGUGUUGAAGCUGUUUACAGUGUUGGGUAGGUUAUAGUGUUUUGGAUCAAGUGUAACAUAAAGUCUUUCUAAACUUGGACAGAACUUCAGGAAACAAAGACAUUGAUUGAUUCUUUUUCCAUUGAACAAUCAAUCCACCAAAGCUCUUUUAAUUCGCUCAAAUAACAUUCAGGUCACCUACUUGAGAAGGCCACAAUGAUUUCUUUUAUAGAGACCAUAACGAGCAAAAUUUGGGCUGAACGGGUUGCACGAGUGUGUGGGCCCACUUGGGCAGAGUAAUAAGCCUCGGGCCCAUUUACACCCAUUGACGCUGUUAUGACCAAUUUGGUUACCUAAGUCACUCAAGGUGACUGCGGACCUUUUGAGAGGUCGAUAUCUACACCGAGACCCCAAUAUUGGUAAAAUAACCGUAAUGCCCCUGUAGGGUAAAAUGACUAUAAUGCCCCAGUGGGGUAUAAUGACCAUAAUGCCUCUGUAGGGUGAUCGAAAUACCCUUGUAAGGUAAAAUAACCAUGAUGCCCCUGUAGGUAAAAUGACUGUAAUACCUCUGUUAGGUAAACUGACCGAUAUACCCUCAAAGGGUAAAAUGAUUAUUUUUUCCAUCGAGGUUAAAUGAUUGAUUUGUUCGUGAUGUAAAUGACUAAUUUGUCUGUGAUUUAAAUGGUUGAUUUGUCUAUGAUUGGUAUGACUGAUUUGUCUGUGAUUUGUACGACUGAUUCUGAGCAUGGCAUUCUGCAUGCAUGACAUAUUGCAUAUGGUUGGGAUACUGUUGAGGAGGAAAUACUGUACUGGUGGCAGCCACAAUCAUUGUUACUAGUGGCUUGGUCAUAUAUACUGUGACUGUUGCUGGCAGCUUUGCUGUGAUGCUACUAAUGGCUUUGUCUGAUCAUAUUACCGUUACUGAUGGCUUUGUGUCGAUCAUAUUAUCGUUAUUGAUGGCUUUGUGCUGAAUAUGUUACCGUUAUUGAUGGCUUUGGGUCGAUCAUAUUAUCGUUACUAAUGGCUAUGUAACGAUCAUAUCACUGCUACUGAUUGCUUUGAGCCAAUCAUAUUACUGUACUUAUGGCUUGUAGCCAUUUUGUUUAUAGCUUAUAGCUAUGCUGUUUAUGGCUCUUAGCCAUUUUGAUUACUGGCAGCUAUGCUGCGAUAUUGGUGUGAGGGCUAGGUGGGUCGACUCUAUCCUCACAUGGUGUGUUAGGUUGGUACGGGUGGUGUGUUGGCUGGAUUGGGAUGGGUUUGCAUACUUGCACCACACUCUGUUACUGUAUUGGGAUAAGGCCCAUACUCUGUUACUGUAUUGGGCUAUGGCCAUACACUGCUACUGUAUAGGGCACAGGCCCAGACUGUUACUGCAUAUAUUACUAACUGAAUGAUAAGGGAUUACACACUGAGUUUUCAUAAACUCACUCUUUCUUUUAUUUACUUAUAGGAAAUCCUCGGCCAUAGGCGAUUUGGUGCUGUGAGGGACUCGAAUGUGGCCAUACUACUGCAACUAUUUAUUACUAGUUUUUAUUUAAAUUUAAAGUUUGUGUUGGGUUUGUUAAUGUAAUAAGGGUAUUUUAAGUUUGUUUAAGUUUUUAAUUGGGCUUUUUCUUAUUUAAUUUAAAUUGCUAGUUUAGGGAAGACGAACUUUCAAAAUAACUACUAUUUCAAAAACAAAAAAGUUCAAAAGCUUCCGCGAUUUUUAGAUCACCGUUUAAUAACAAAAUGAUUAAUUGAUUUUAAAAAAUUUCAAUGACAACAAGUUUUACACUAAACACCUCAAUGUGGCACCGCCAGAUUCGAUCAUAACUCCUAGACCAGGUUUGGGGUGCUUCAAAUUUGCUCCAUAGCCCGAGGAUUCAAGCUGACAAAGAUUAUUCGAAAGCCACCGAACUUUUUUAAAGAAGCUAAUAAGCAUCACAUGGAUGAGUGAAUAAUGGAUCGCAACUCGGAUCAAGCAAAAAGGAGAUCAAAGAGGCACCCCUUUGGAGAGUUGGCGAGAUUCGAUCUCAGCAUUUAGAUAUGAGAAAAAGGAUCGAUGUCUUUACUUUGAGAUUAGGGCAAGGCUGUAUAUGUAAAUAUCCAUUUUAUGUAAAGAGAUUUAUCUUCUACUAAAGUUGUUCUAAUAGAAUUGAAUCAAAAUCAACGCCUCUUUUUGCAUUCAUUCCAUUCAUUUGCAUUACAUUUCAUUGCAUCAUGUGCAUUAAAUUCCACAAAAGAUCCUAAUUAUACGAGAUUAUUUUAGUUAAUUUGGAAACCAACGAAAAUCCACCAACCAAAUAUUACUACGGUAUCCGCUACAAGAUGAAAACAAUGCAUCAAAGAUUGGAAAGGUUAGAACAAUUGCAAAAUGAGAUGCAAGAUCAGAUGCAGGAACAACUGGCUAAAAUUCAACAAGACAUAAGGGAUUAGAUGCUAGAAUCUCAAAGAAAUUUAUUGAGCCAAUUAACGUAAUUAAUGGCUAGGGGGCAUGAUAAAAGGAAGAGUCCAGUGGUCAAUAGUAGGGAUGAUAAUGAAACCCCCAUCUAUCCCCAGGUUUCACCCCAAUAGGUGUCUAGGCCCAACCAGACGCCCAUCUACAAGGGGGACCCACUACUAACAGACCCUAAUAUCAGACCAGUACCUCGGCACCAAUGAACUACCUGACAGGCUCAGGUUCUAGUCCGGGGGACAAACCAACCAAUCCUAUAGUUCCUGAUCUAGAUAAAAUGGAAGAAAUAGAAAAAGAAAGGGUAGAACUGCCAAAGAAACUUGAAGAUCGGUACAGGUGGUUGAAAGAAAAACUCAAAGCAUUGAGAAUUCUGAUUACCAUUGCGGGGUUGAUGCGAAGGAUCUGUGUUUGGUCCUAAAUCUAGUACUCCCGCCGAAAUUCAAGACUCCAGAAUUUGAAUAGUAUAACGGGGACUAGCUAUCCUAAAGCUCACAUCAUUAUGUUCUAUCGAAGGAUGACAGGAUAUGUUAAUAACGAUCAACUAUUAAUCCACUACUUCCAGGACAGUCUGAUCGGGUUUGCAGCCAAAUGGUACAACCAAUUGAGCCGUGCCAAAAUUCACUCAUGGAAGGACUUGGCACAAGCUUUCAUGAAGAAAUAUGGCCACGUGCCAGACAUGGCACCCGACAGAAUCACACUGCAGAAUAUGGAAAAGAAGCAAAGUGAAAGCUUUAGGCAAUAUGCCCAAAGAUGGAGAGAGGUAACAAUGCAAGUCCAACCACCUCUUUUGGAGAAAGAAACCACGAUACUUUUCAUCAACACUCUGAAGGCCCCAUUCAUUAACCACAUGUUGUGAAGUGCUACCAUGACCUUCUCAGAUAUGGUAAUGUCUGGCGAGAUGAUUGAAAAUGCGGUAAGGAGUGGGAAGAUAUACGCGAGAGAAAGCGCCAAAAGAUCAACCCCAAAGAAAAAUAAAAAUGAAGUGAAUAAUGUGAGUAAAGGGUAUUCCAAAUCAGUCACCAUAGGCCAACCAAAGGCCGUGACCACUAGCUAUCAAGGCCCUUCGAGGCAAGAAUCUAACUCAAAGCUAAACACAAAAAGACUCGAGUACACACACAUUCGGAUGACAUAUAGAGUGUUGUAUUAGAAUCUGUUUGAUGCACAUGCAGUAGCUCCGUUCUACUUAAAACCCGUGCAACCUCCGUUUCCGAAAUGGUAUGAUGUAAAUGCCCAAUGCGAAUACCACACGAAAAUAAUAGGACACUCAAUUGAAAACUGCACUGCAUUUAAAAAGUUAGUUGAAAGGUUCAUCAAGAUGGGCAUCGUAAAUUUUGACGAUCUAUCAAGACCUAAUGUGGUAGAAAAUUCGUUACCCAGUCAUCCAGACCUAAGGGUAAAUGCAAUAAUUGAGAAGGGAGGAGAGAUAACCAAAAUCAAUGUUGCAGAAGUAAAAACCCCACUGAAAUGGGUUUCAAGACAAAUGAUAGACAAGAGAUUACUCAUUCAGAAUUUGGAGAAUAGACCAAAAAGGAUAGGAAGUUACUGUGAGUUCUACACUAAAGAAGGUCAUGAAAUCCAAGAGUGCGCUGAAUUCAAAUCUUUGGUGCAAAGCCUAAGGGAUAAUAAAGAUUUGGAAUUCCUUGAAGAGGUCAAAGGCCCAGAAAGGAUGUUGGGGAAUUCGAAUGUCAACGCCAUACCCGAAGAGGGAGUCAGGGAAGAGAAAUUAUCAGAUAUUUGCCCUUAAAACACAUGGGAGUGUUUUGAACAAUGGGAAUGUAGAAGAGAUCCCUGAAUUUUUUAGACCUAAUUCAGAGUAAUGUCCAAAACACACUUGUUGCUCUAAACCUAGGAGUAACAAGAAUUCUUUUGUGAGAUAGGUUUAUGUCCAAAUCUUUAUUUCAAUAAAAUGCAUCCUUGUAUCUCACUUCGAGAAAAUAUUCUUUUAUUGUUUCCAUUUCAUUCAUAAUCAUACUAUACAUAUAAAUAUUCUUAGAUUCUUUCAUUCUUUGGAUCUAUCUUCGUCCCUAUAGCAGGUCUCCAGAUAUAAAUGAUAUGAGCGACACUGCUAUUAACUCAAAACCUCCUUUUAAGCAAGAAAUGUGUCCAGAGGAACUUCGAGACUUUGAAGGCAACCGAGACUGUAGCUUAUCUCUUGAUUUGUUAAGAAUGGUAGAACAAGAUCCUACCUUACAAAGAAUCAAUAGAAGCCAUGGCCUUUCUCUAUGUGGGGCAGGAUGUCAUUGGGCUAAUCUCGCCAAAAGCUUUUUGUGGUCAUCAAUUCAUCUUUAUGGUCGCCGAUUACUUCACUAAGUGGGUGCAAGUUGAUUCAUAUGUUAAUGUCACAAAGUCGACAGUCAGCAAAUUCUUGAAAAAUCAUAUGUUGGUAUGGAAUGCCAAAAAGGAUCAUAUCUGACAAUGCGCUAAAUUUGAACAACAGCACGAUAUUUGAAGUUUGCAGCCUAUUCAAGAUUAACACCAUAUCGCCCUAAAAUGAACAGCGCGAUGAAAAAAACUCUACCGGGCAACGCCUUUCGCUUUAGCUUAUCGCGAUUUUGCCCAUUGAAGUCGAGAUUCCUUCUCUUUGAUUUUUUUGAAUCCAUUCUCGAUUGAAGAGAAAAGUUCAAAGUUAUCUGUCAUGUUCAAAUGUACCAAAAAAAUGAUGCAAGCUCACGAAAAAGGUUCGCCUCAGAGAAUUCCAUGAUGGAGACCUGGCAUCGAAGAAGAUCCUACCCAUACAAAAGGAUUUUAGAAGAAAGUGGAUGCCAAACUGAGAAGGACCUUAUGUGGAAGGCCUUAUCUGGAGAAGCGUUGAUUUUGAUCGGGAAGGAUAACAAGGACUUGCCUAAUCCUAUGAGUUUAGAUUCAAUCAAAAAAAUGUCUAGAAAAAAAAAGAAAAAGAAAAAUGAGAGGCCAAGGUGAAAACCCACUGUAAUGGGCUAAUUUUGGCCUAGACCUAAUAAACCAAAAUAAAAUAAAAAAAAUCCAAUUCUAAAUGUCCAUUUACAUUGGCCUAGUAAGGCCCAAAUCCUAACCCAAACCAACAUUAGCCCAAUACCCAACUACAAACCCUAGCCCUAAUCACAAACAGAGACCCCAGCAGAACGAAACCCUAGCAGAACAUUACUCUGCUAUUUUGAAUCAAAGGGAAAAAUGAAUUUUUUAGAAAAAAAAAUUGGUUUUAUAAUGGCCGUGAAACGACGCCGUUUGAGGCCUGCUUCAGCGGCCUCAAAACGACGUCGUAUAGGCCAAAACCCAACGACUCGACUCGAAAGGCGCUAGAUCCACGCGUUUUGGGUUGAAUGGGGAAUUUGCGCAUUUGGUCCCCUAUUUUUAUUUGAUUUUAAUGCAGUAUUUCAUGUAUUUUCAAUUUAGCCAAAAAAUUUCUUUCCUGUUUCAAUUUGGUCCAUAGACCCUGCGCAUAGAUCUCGCUAAAACGAUGUCGUUGGAUCAGUGUAGGGAUAUUUCCCUUUGGGUCCUCCUCUUGUUGUGUGCAUUUUGAUUUGGUCCCUUUUUGUGUUUUCUAUAUUUAAAUUCGGCCCCUAAACUCCGUUUAUUUUUCAAUUUGAUCCCUAAUAAGGUUUUUUUAGUUUUUUUUAUAUUAUUGAUAUUGUCAUUGUAUCAUUAUUAUUAUAUUAUUUAUUAUCAUUAUUAUUAUUUCUAUAUCUAUACACACACAUUUUUUUAUGUAGUAUAUAUAUGCAUAUUUUUUUAUAUAAUAUAUGCAUAUAUUUUUAAACUUUUGUAAAUACAUGUAUAUAUUUUAUACAUAUAUAUUUUUUAUUAUUAUUUUAUUUUCAUGACUUUUAUAUACAUAUAUAUAUAUUUUUACAUUUUAUAAUACACAUAAAUAUUUAUCUUUUACAUAUUAAACUUUUACAAUACAAGUAUACAUGCAUCUUCUAUAUUAUAUAUGUAUACGUUUUUUUUAAAUAUUAUAAAUAUAUAUUUCAUUCAUUUAUAUAGGUAUACUUAUAUAUAUUUUAAUAUAUGCAUAUAAAUAUUUUCAUAUUUUAUUUAUAAAUCAUAUAUAUAUACAUAUCUUGUAAAUACAUAUAUAUAAUUUAAAUUAAAGUAUUUGUUUCAUGUUAUACAUUAACAUUUUAUCAUACUUUUAAAGAAAAUAUAUUUGGUUUCAUCAAAUCAUUAAAACCAUUUUUGUUCAAAGGCUUUCAAGAUCAUGUAAUAUUCGAUAUUUGGGAUUUUCAAGAAAAUUGAGCCCUAACGUAUUGGGUUCCAAUUUUCCUUGUUAACCCUAAAUAAUCGAGAAUAUUUUUUUUCAAAACGCAUAAAUAAAAAUCACUUUCGGGAGUUCAAUAUGUUGUGUCAUAAUGUAUUGGGUAUGACAUAUUGUUUUUUUUAGAUGAAAAUUUUCAUAAAAAAGGGGUAAUAUUCAAAGUUUGGGAGUUUUGAGAAAUUGUACUCUAACGCAUUGAGUCUCGACUUCUUUAUCUAACCUAAACAAUUGAAUAUUCCCUAAAUAAGAAGAUUUUAAUAUGUAUACAAGUUUUUAAAUACAAGGAUCAUAUUUUAAAAAUCUUUUCAAGCUUUUGACAUCACGACAUUAAUAAUCAAUUUGGUACCGAUUUUGGGCGUUACGAGGGUGCUAACCCUUCUUCGUGCGUAAUCGACUCCCGAACCUAUUUUCUCAAAAUUCGUAGACCAAAAUAGUUUUUAAGGUGGGCCGAUCACACUUCAAUAAAGGAUCGAUGGUGACUCCAAUUUUUGUUUUUUUAAAGUCGACGACUAAAUUUUUGUUUUCAAAAAAGUGGUUUCGACACCCACAAAGGGCACCUUGAGACCAAAUGGGUUUUGAAUUGAAAACCCAAGAAAAGGGCAAUUCCAAUUUUGAUCAAAGGUGGGGCAUGCGGUAGUCUUACUACGUCUAAAUUAGCAAGAAAGAAGGAUGCUACAUCUUGGGGCAUCAACAAAGUCUUCUACGACUUAUAAACACAUAUCAAGUUCAAUAGGGUCCUUAAGAAGUUUGGGCAGGGAAGCUCAUGCUACGAUAUCUGGGGCACCUAUUUCUAUCUUAUUCAUUUUUGUAUUUUGACAAAAUACGCCAUCUUGAUUAAUUUAUUCUCAUUUUGUAUUCUAGCAAAAUUUGCUAUCUUGAUUUAUUUAUUCAUUUCGAGCUUUGCUCUCAACAAAAUUUCAUCUUUUCUAUUGCGAUAAUCUUUUUCAAGCAUUUUUCAUUAAAAUAACAAUUAAUGGACUGAUAGUAUUCAAGUAAAAGAAGUUCUGAACAUUGCUCUGAAAGCUUCUAAAUAGUACAAUGACCUGAAAUAGGACUAUUAUUUAGAACUAACAAAAACUAAGGGUUGGAAACAUUUGAGAAAGAAUAGUCUAAAUUGUGACUAUUUCUUUGGAUCUUCUGUUAAAUAUACCAGUUGAACAUGAAAACGGGGUAAUACGUUAGUGUUAGAACCUUGAUGAACAACGAGCAAUGACAACCCAAACAAAAAAAGGAUCAUUCUCAAAAAUGACAUUCUGCAUUCAUGCAAAUAUCAUGCAUACACAUCUAGUUAGGAGUAUUUGAUUCAUUCUAAUCAUAACACCCUAAUCUAGGCCUAUGAAAUGAAUUUUUCAAGGUCAUGUUACCCGGAGAAGGGUGUAACAAAUCAAUAAAAUUACAUAUCCCAUACCCCUAAAAUUGCAGUGGGACAGAUUAAAGUUGCAUAGCAAACCUUACCUCCCUAAAGUUGUAGUGAGGCAAGUUGAAGUUACAAGUCUUAUCUCCCUGAAGUUGCAAUGGAGUAGAUUGGAGAUAGCAAAUCUUAUUUCCCUGAAGUUGCAGUGGAACAGAUUGAAGCUAUAAAUAACAUAUCUUAUUUAUCUGAAGUUGCAGUAGAGCAGAUCAUAUCAAACCUUAUCUCCUUGAAGUUGCAGUGGAGCAGGUUAAAUCAAUCUUAUCUCCUUGAAGUUGCAGUAGAUCAGAUUGAAGCCACUAAUCUUAUCCCCCUAAAGUUGCAAUGGGGCAGAUUGAAGAUAGCAAGUCUUAUCUCCCUGAAGUUGCAGUGCAGCAGACUAAAGAUAAAUCAAUCUUAUCUCUCUAAAGUUGCAGUAGAGUAGAUUGAAGACGAGCUACAUAUCUUAUCUCUCUGAAGUUACAGUAGAGCAGAUCAUAUCAAACCUUAUCUCCCUGAAGUUGUAGUGGAGCGGAUUAAAACGAUGAAUCCUAUACCUCUGAAGUUGCAGUAGGUCGGAUUAAAUUUACCAUAACAAGUCUUAUCUCCCUAAAGUUGCAGUGGAGCAUACUAAAAACACAAAUCUCAUCCUCUUGAAGUUACAACAGAGUAGAUUGAAGCUACAAGUCGUAUCUCUCUGAAUUUACAGUGGAGUGGAUUGAAGCAACAAGACACAGUGGAUUGGAGCAAUACUAAGAAGUCAAGACCUGGCAAGACCAAGCAGAAUUGGCCCUUUUAAAGUCUUUGCUCCAUUCUCGUUACACGACAAUGAGAAAAGAGGGGCAGCUGUAAGCCCCAAUUUCUGCCUGGGGCCCAAAUAUUAAAACAAAACAAAACAAAAAAAACAAUCCAAUUACAAAGAAAAAAUAAUAGGCCCAAUGUAGCCCAAGGCCCAAAACAAAAAUAAACCUUAGCCUAACCACCUAAAACACAUCAGAAAAAAAACCCUAGCCACAUGAUCAGCCGCCCCAGCUCUUCCACAUCAGCAAGCAUGCGUCUGUGCGCGCCUCUGCCACCGCUGCCGUCAGCCUCUACCACCACCUGCAAAGAAAAAAAGACACGCAAAAUAGAAGAAAACAACAAGGAAGAGACAAAGAAGUAGCAACAAACAAGAACAAAGAAAAAAAAUAGAUUUUGUAAUUUCGGUUAUAGAAGCCCGAGUGCAUCUUUGUAAUUUUUUUUGGUCGGAUGGAUUAAAAAUACAAAAGAAAUUGGAACAGAUUAAAAAAAAAAGGUGCUUUUCUUAUUUUUUUAUUUCAAAAUAAAUAAAAAAUAGUAUAAAAAAAUAAAAGGGUAUUUGGUUACCUUGGAGGCUGUGGUCGGAGGCUCCUCCGGCCCUGAGAGCAGUCGAACCAGUGGGUUCGCCAAAGAAACCUCACCGAUGGUAUGGGAAACCGAAAGGUUCCUUUUUUUUGUUUUUUUCUUCGUUGUUGAAUUUGGGGAUAUUUUUGGACUGUUUUAACCCCAAAUUAGGGUUAUACUUGAAAAAAGAGUGAAAAUGGGGUUUUUGAAUUUUUCAGCCACCGCGGCGGCAAUCGACCGGACUCCUGGUCGGAGCUAAGCCAGCGUCUGGAGAGGGAGAGAAGGAGAGGAUUCUUUCUUUUUUUUUUUUAAGGAGGAGGUUUAAAAUGAUUUUUUUUGUAAAUUUUUUUCACUUAUAUAGGAGUAUGAAACGACGCCAUUUUGGGCCUAAGCUUCAGACGCCAAAACAGCGUCGUUUUGAGGGAGCCGACCCGAACCCAACCCGCUCCAUGGCUAGGAUCCGCGUGUUUUUUUUUGGAAGGGAUAAUUUCACUUUUAGCCCUUCCGCUUUUUAAUGAUUUUUCAAUCAAGUUUUUCAUUUUUUAAUUUUACCCCAGAAUUUAUUUCGGCUUUCAAUUUGGUCCACCUUGAAGCUGUGCAUUUUGGACGGUGGGGAUUAUUUCCUAUUUGGUCCCUCCUUGUUAUUUGCACGUUCAAAUUGGUCCUUUUCCUUCUUAUUUAUUUUCAAUUUGCCCCAAAUUUCUAUUUUUAAUUUCAAUUUAGUCCUUUUUUGUCAUUUUUGCUACUUUAUAAUUAAAAUUAAUUAAUUUAACAUUAUUUUUGUCCUUUUUAUUUGUUUACUUGCAAUUUUAUUAAAUUAAUUAGUUUCACAUUAUUAUUUCUAUUAUAUUUCUUUUUAUAUUUUAUUUACCUAAAUAUUUUAAACACAUUUAAUUCAUUUUAUUGUAUUAUUUAUUUAUUUAUUAUUCUUUCAAACUUUAAAUUAUUUAUUAUUCGUAUUAUUUUUAUUAAUAUUAUCAUUAUCAUUAUUAUCUUUUUAAUUUAUAUAAUAUCUAUUUGUUCACUAUUAUUUUUAUAUAAACAUAUAUACAUAUAUAUAUAUUACUUAUUCUUUUUUUAAUAUUUCAAAUACGUUUAUUUCAUUAUGUCACUCUUUUAUUUAUAUUUUUUGUCGCAUAAUCUUUAAACUUUAGAUUUCUAUUAUAAUGAUUAUUAUUAUUAUCAUCAUCAUUAUUAUAGUCAAUGUUAUUCUUAAAUUGUUUUAUAUAAUAUAUAUUUAUUUUUAUAAUAUCAAGUCUUUAACUUUAAAUUUCAGGUUCCUUUAUUAUUCAUUUUGUUUAUUGUUUUUUAGCUCGUUUGUUUUAUUCUUUAUAUCGUCAUUCAUAUAAACUCAUUUAUCAUUAUUCCGAUAUGCAUAUUCCUACCGUACUUUAUUUCUAUCGAUUCGUAUUACAUUAAUUUUACUCAAUAAAUAAAUCAUGAUUUUAAAAUAAGUAAAACUUCUUAUUUUAAGAUUCGAAAAGGUCGUAUCCUAACUUACGGGGUUUCGAUUUUCUCAAUAAAUUCAAAUAAACGAACGUUUUUUUAGUAAAAUUUUUAAAAUAAUCUCGGGAAUUAAGAAAAAUCGUAUUCUAACUUAUGAAGUACGAUUUCUUCCUAAAAUCGAGAGGAUCAAAUACCUUUCAAUAAAUAAACUUUUCGGUGUUUAUUCUCUACCGGGAAUUCAAGACAUUGUGUCCUAACUUACGGGACAUAAUUCUCUUUCUCGAUUAACGUGAAAUAUGCCCCUUCCUCGAAAAUCCUCAGCAUUUCAAAAAGGGAUCAUAUUUUAAAGUUUCAUUCAAAUUUUCAACCUUCGACAUUAGGACAUUAAUUAAUCGAGUAGGUACCAAUUUUGGGCGUAUUGAGGGUGCUAAUCCUUCCUCGUGCGUAACCAACUCCCAAAUCCAUUUUCUAGAUUUUGCAGACCAAAAAUUAUUGUUUUAAUAAUUUAAACUUUUAUUAAAAUGAUUAAAUUACGAGGUGACCCGAUCACACCUCAUAAAAAUGAUCAGUGACGACUCCCAUUUUAAUUUCUGUUUUCAAACAAAAGUCAACCCUUUUAUUAAAAAAAUGGUUUUGACAGCUAUAGGAUGUUCUCAUGGUUAAUUCUUCAUUUGAUCANNNNNNNNNNNNNNNNNNNNNNNNNNNNNNNNNNNNNNNNNNNNNNNNNNNNNNNNNNNNNNNNNNNNNNNNNNNNNNNNNNNNNNNNNNNNNNNNNNNNNNNNNNNNNNNNNNNNNNNNNNNNNNNNNNNNNNNNNNNNNNNNNNNNNNNNNNNNNNNNNNNNNNNNNNNNNNNNNNNNNNNNNNNNNNNNNNNNNNNNNNNNNNNNNNNNNNNNNNNNNNNNNNNNNNNNNNNNNNNNNNNNNNNNNNNNNNNNNNNNNNNNNNNNNNNNNNNNNNNNNNNNNNNNNNNNNNNNNNNNNNNNNNNNNNNNNNNNNNNNNNNNNNNNNNNNNNNNNNNNNNNNNNNNNNNNNNNNNNNNNNNNNNNNNNNNNNNNNNNNNNNNNNNNNNNNNNNNNNNNNNNNNNNNNNNNNNNNNNNNNNNNNNNNNNNNNNNNNNNNNNNNNNNNNNNNNNNNNNNNNNNNNNNNNNNNNNNNNNNNNNNNNNNNNNNNNNNNNNNNNNNNNNNNNNNNAUUGGUUAAGUUGGUGGACAAAAAUGGACAUGGUUAGGCAUGUUUCUAAAGUUUUUCAUUUAGGGCAUUUUGGUUAUUUUGAUAUUAAAAUGAAUUAAAAACAAAAUUAAAAGCCAAUUUUUGUCCAUCUUCAAGCUUUGGCUGAAUUUUUCAUGAAGAAACCAUGGCUAGGGUUUUUCAAGCUUCCAAGCUCGAUUGUAAGUCAAUUCUAGCCCCGUUUUUAAUGAUUUUUACAUUUUUAAAAUCGUCGUAAAAAGAUCUAGCUAUUUCUACCAUUAUUUUGAACUAGGUUUGUGUUUAAAAAUUUACCCAUUUAUGAUAUGCAUGUAUUUUGAUGUUUUAUGGAAGAAUAUAAAUGUUUGGGGUGUGACAAACGUCUUUUACUAAGUGAUUUUCGAUGAAAAUGCCUAAAAGGAUUAAUUUGUAAAAGUUAUAAAAUAUGUCACAACUGUGUGAAUAAGUGAGAAUUGUGGGCUGCUAUAGUUAUGAAAAUGGUUCGACUAAGCCAAAAAUGCAAGUAAAUUGAAUAAAAAUUACUUUACGAGCCUAAAGGCAAAAUCAUAAUUUGGUGAAACUUUAGGGGCAAAAAUAUAAUUUUGCCAAAGUGUGAUUUUUGGAUUAGAUUGAAUAAUGUGAGUGUUUAUAAGUUUAAUGUGUGAUUAUAAAUUAAGAAAGACGAGAAAUUGACUUUGAUCAGUUAAAAAGAAGAGUGAGAAAAAGUGAGAAAUUCCUGGUUGAACUUAGGAAUAGAAGUGGAUAAAAGUGACAUGUCACUAGAGACCAGUGUUACAGUGUUACAGUGAGUUCCAAGUACUGGGUGAUCUAGUAUGUGUUGCAGACACCUGACAGCUUGUAUGAGCAGGCCCGUGGACAUUUCUAGUGUUAUUGAUCAGUGGUAGCUUCGGCUACAUAUCAGUGGUAGCUACGGCUACAUAUCAGUGGUAGCUUCGGCUACAUAUCAGUGAGGCACUUAUGUGCUAAUUCUCUAUGUAUCCAUGUAUAUUCCAAGUGUUAAAUGGGAUUAAUAAUGAGUUAAAGUGAAUAUGAAAUGAAGUAAUGAAAUUAUGAAAGAGUAAAUUUAACAACAAAACAGUUUAGGACAGCAACAGCUGUGUGAAUUUGAAAAAUCACUAAAAAUAGUGCAAAUUGAAUUAUAAGCUGAAUGAAAUGUGGAAUUAAAUCUGAAUGAGAUAUUUUCACAUAAAGGAAAUAGAGUAAGCAAAAGAUUUAUAUAUUUUGAGAUUUUUGAAUUUUAGUGAGAUAGGGUCAGAAUGAUUUUGGAAUCCCCUGUUCUAACUUUGAAAAUUUUUUAAAAAUUGUACAAAAAUAUUUAUGGGUCGAAAUUUAUAUUUUUAGAAUUUAGAAUGAGUCUAUCUUCAAAAUAAACAAACGAGAGAAUUAUUCGAGUUCUUUACAAUGAGAUAUUUAAUUUUUAGUGAAGAGGGGUUAGAACUGUCGAACAAUGAAACAGGGGAAAUUUUAAAGAAUAACCUGUAUUUAUUGGCUAAGCCAAAAUUCUGAAAAUUUUAUGGUAAGAAUAUAUGUGAGUAUAGUUUUGGGGAAAAUUAAUGAAUCUUAAUUUGGAGCUCUGUAGCUUAAGAUAUAAAUAAAUCAUUGACUCUAACUCAGAUAGUUAGCUUGAAUUUACAUAUGGGAAAAUAGUGAAAGUAUGGAUAAUGGUGUUUAAGUGUGUUAUACACAUUAAGGAUGAGGAAUGGAGAGGAGGUGGAGAAAAAAUUGGGAAAUAUAUGAAUGCUUUGUGUAUAAUUGAUAAUACGUUCGAUUAUAAUUGAUAAACGAUGAAAUGGAAAUGAUGCAUAUGUUUGUGCAUUAUUGGUCAUGAUUUAAGCUCAUGUAGGAAAAUAAAGUUUCAUAGUAUGUGUGUAUGGUAUAUUUGGGGAAAAUUAAUGAAUCUUAAUUUGGAGUUCUGUAACUCGAGAUAUAAAUAAAUCAUUGACUCUGACUUAGACAGUUAGCUUGAAUUUACAUAUGGGAAAAUAGUGAAAGUAUGGAUAAUGUAGUUUAAGUGUGUUAUACACAUUAAGGAUGAGGAAUAGAGAGGAGGUGGAGAAAAAAUUGGGAAAUAUAUGAAUGAUUUGUGUAUAAUUGGUAAUACGUUCGAUUAUGAUUGAUAAACGAUGAAAUGGAAAUGAUGCAUAUGUUUGUGCAUUAUUGGUCAUGAUUUAAGCUCAUGUAGGAAAAUAAAGUUUCAUAGUAUGUGUGUAUGGUAUAUUUGGUAUAUGAUUUGACAUGAAGUAAUGUCAUGAAUGGGUAUUGAGUUAACACAUGUUAGUAAGUUUGAUACAUGAAUAAAAAUUGUGUUCAUCCAUGCUUAUAAUGCUUAUGUUAUAUGUUUAUUUGGCUGGCAUAUUUGGCAUACAUGCUUAGGCUUUGGCCAAGUUGUGGCGGAAUUAUGCCACGUUAAAUCUAUAAGUUAUGCAUCGAAAUAGUAAGUGCCUAAAUGGAAAUAUGCUUGUGAUCAUGAAAGGGGAGGUAAGGUUUAAAUUAUGUAAUCUGUAGUGAAAUGGUUUAUUAUGUGGUUAGUCCCAAAAAGAAUUAUGUUUCAAUGCACUAGCUUGCAACUAUAGUUGAAUGAUAUGUUUAUGUCUUGUGUGAUAAGCAUAGGAAACGGGUGUGGAAAGUAUGAAAUAAAAAGUUCAUACUUGAAGUGUAAAAUGACGAAAAAAGAGGAUGAUGAGUUGAAUUGAUGUUGUUAUUUAAGGUAAAAUGAUAUUUUCAUUGCAAAAUUGAGAAUUUCAUAAAUGUGUUAAUGAAUGGUAUAAUCAAUAAACAUUGAGUUAAAUGGUAAAUACGUAUUAGUAUUGAUCUUAAUGAUAUUAAAUUGUAAGUGAAUUAAAAAGGAAAUUGAUAGUGAUAUGAUUUGAAUUGUAAGCAUGAAAAAUUGUGAAAUGAAUGAAAAGGAAAUGAAGCAUUGAAUUGCAUGAGUAUGUAUCGGGUCUCGUAGGCCCUAUUUAUUAUGAAUAUAAUAUUUUGAAGAUAUGUAGUGAAGAAUUAUAAAAGUAUAUUAAUAAUUUGAAAGUUUUAAUUUAGAUGAAAUUUUAUAACUCGGUUCAGUACAUUUACAAGUGUAUGUGUUCUGGUAAUGCCUUGUACCCUAUUUCGGUAUCGAAUACGGGUAAGGGGUGUUACAUGUUUAUUUUAUACAUUAGCAUCAUUAACAUUGAGAAUAAGUUGAGCAGGCAACUGCCAGGACUGUAUCUUUAUCUAUUUAAAGGUUUAAUUAAUAAUGCAAUAAGCAAUAAAAGUAGGUAAGGAAUAUAGAAAAAUUAUAUUAUCAUUGUAAAAUUAUUUUUUAAUUGAUAUUAAAUAAAUAUUAUUAUUUUAAUGUCUUAAUAUAGGCACCCAGUUUUUUCGAAAUCAAUUAUUUCUAAAAAUAUAUGCAAUAAGUAAUAAAACUCGUAUUUUCUUUUCUUUCUCUUAAUCACGUGAUUUUUUUAUUCUUUUCUUUUUUUCUACUUCUAGUCCAGAUUUUGAGGUGUGACAGUUUCUAAAUAUAUUUAAAGAGAAAACCAACUUGCUUACCUUUCAUAUAUUUUCAAAAAUAAUUAAUUUUGAAAAAACUGGAUGCCUAUAUCAAAAUAUAAAAAUAAUAAUAUUAAUUUAAUAUGAAUUAAAAAAAUAAUUUUACAAUGACAAUAUAAUUUUUCUAUAUUUGUUUCCUGCUUUUAUUGCUUAUUACCUAAUUUAUUAAACCUUCAAAUAGAUAAAGAUACAGUUCUGGCAGUUGCCUACUCAACUUAUUCUCAAUGUUAAUAAUGCUAAUCUAUAAAAUAAACAAUUUAAGUAAAAGUUAAUAACAAAAGUAAAUAGAAUAACAUAAUAAAAAAAUAUUGAAAUCUUACUUUUGGUGUUAUAUUGUCAUUGUAAUGACGGUAAACAUUAGAGCAGUACCGUACUACAGAGGCAUAGGAAUUGGUUGGGCAACUAGAUUCUGCAUGCGCGAAUAUAGAUUUAACCACCGAAUCACAUUUCACCGCCAAUACCCAAUCAUAUAAAUAUUUCUUUCGCAACAUAUUUAGGCAUUUGUCAAGAUUAUGCCACCAAAUCUCUUCACGCUUCGUCAUGUGAUUUAGAUUUAUAAUAAAAUAGUACUUAUCAAUAGGACUCCAAAAUAAAGAUGCAUCCAGUAGAAACGCGAGACUCAUGUAUUCCCUAUCCAUUUGGACAUAGGCAAAUAUGUAAACAAAAAAAAUUAUGAAAUUAAUGAAGUAAAACAUAUGAGUUAUCGAACUUUAAAAUAAAUAUAUAAAAGAUAACUUAAAAGUUUUGAAAUUUGAGCUGGUUAAGAAACUAUGAUAACUCAUUCAGCAUAUUGAAAUUCUCAUAAUUUUGGAUAACAGAUUCGAACGCAAUAUUGACGAUGUAGUUCAUCAAAUAUUUCAACUCAUCAAUAUCACCUUCCAUUGCUUGGUCAGAUGCAUUCACAUUGGGUAAAAACUUUACCCCCACCGAAAUUAGUGAUGAAUAUAGACUUUAUCGGACCUUGCGUGUAAGUGAUCUUAUUAUUUUUAGCCCAUAUACAAGCCACAUCUUUUAGGAUCUUACUGAAAUCCUCACUAAUGUAAUUGAACCAUUCACGUUGAUUUCUGUUACUAUUUUCCCACCUCUCCAUCUUUUCUCUAAAACAUGUUACAAUAUUUUUUGGAAUAUUCUAAUGCAACCAGCCAUUCAUCUUGAUACCGUACAAGAUGAUGACAACUUAAUAUCCAGUCAUCAUCUUUUACGGUAUCAAAAUUAAUGGCUGGUUGCAGUAGAAUAUUCUAAAAAUAUUGUAAUAUAUUUUAGAGAAAGGAUAGAGAGGUGGGAAAGUAGUAACUGAAAUCAGCGUGAAUGUUUCAAUUACAUUAGUGAGGAUUUCGGUAAGAUCUUAAACGAUGUGGCUUGUAUAUGGGCUAAAAAUAAUAAUAGCAUUUACACGCAAGAUCCGAUAAAGUUUAUAUUCAUCACUAAUUUCAGUGGGGGUAAAAUUUUUACCCAAUUUUAAUGCAUCUGAAAAUCCAAUUGAAGGUGAUAUUGAUGAGUUGAAAUAUUUGAUGAACUACAUCGUCAAUUUGCCAUUCGAAUCUGUUAUCCAAAAUUAUGAAAAUUUCAAUAUGCUGAAUGAAUUAUUAUUUCUUAACCAGCUCAAAUUUCAAAACUUGUAAGUUAUCUUUCAUAUAUUUAUUUUAAAAUUCGAUAACUCAUAUGUUUUACUUAAUUAAUUUCAUAAUUUUUAAUUUACUUAUUUGCCUAUGUCCAAAUGGAUAGGAAAUACAUGAGUCCCGAGUUUCUACUAGAUGCACCUUUAUUUUGGAGACCUGUUGGUAAGUUCCAUUUUAUUAUAAAUCUAGAUCACAUGAUGAAGCGUGAAGAGAUUUGGUAGCGUAAUCUUAAUAAAUGCCUAAAUAUGUUGCAAAAGAAAUAUUCAUAUGAUUGGGUGUUUGUAACACCCCUUACCCGUAUUUGACACCGGAAUAGGGUACGAGGCAUUACCAGAACACAUACACCUAUAAACAUGUUAAACCGAGUUAUAAAAUUUUAUUCAAAUUUAAACUCUUCAAAUUUUUAACAUGCUUUUAUAAAUCUUAACGUUAUAACUUCAAAAUACUAUAUUUGUAACAAAUUGGGCUUCUGAGACCCAAUACAUACUCAUGCAAUUCAAUACUUCAUUUUCAUUUCAUUUAAUUCACGAUUCUCACGUUCACGAUUCAAUUCAAUUCCUCAAUCCAAUAUACAUUUCAAUACCACAAUAAUUUAUUUAAUUCAAAUCAUAUCAUUUGCAAUUUCUAUUUAAUUCACGUACAGUUCAAUUUCAUUAAGUUCAAUACUAAUACAUAUUUAUCGUUUAACUUAACGUCCCCUUUUUGCGUCAUUUUACACUUCAAGCAUGAACUUAGUAUUUAAUUUCCUUUCCACCCCCGUUUCCUAUGCAUAUCACACAAGAUAUAAACAUUACACUCAACCAUAGUCGCAAGCUGGUCUUUUUUUGAAGACUAACCACAUGAUAAACCAUUUUAAUAAAGAUUACAAACUUUAAAACUUACCACCCUUUUAUGAUCACAAGCAUAUUUCCAUCUAGGCAUUUACCAUCUCAAUGCAUAAUUUUAUAAAUUUAAUGUGGCGUAAUCCAGCCACAACUUGGCCAAAGCCUAAGCAUACACACCAAAUAUGCUAGCCAAAUAAACAUAUAGUAUAAGCAUUAUAAGCAUAGAUAAGCACCACAUUUAUUUAUGUAUCAAACUUACCAACAUGAGUUAAUUCAUAAACAAUUUCUGACAUUGCUACAUAACAAAUCAUAUACCAAGUAUACCACAUACACAUACUAUGAAACUUUAUUUUCUCACAUGAACUUUAACCAUAACUAAUAAUGCACAAUUAUAAACAUCAUUUCUUCUUAAUCGUUUAUCGAUUAUAAUCGAGCAUAUGGCCAAUUAUACACAAAUCAUUCAUAUGUUCUUCCAAUUUUCCUCCUCCUCCUCUCCAUUCCAUAUCCUUAAUGUACAUAACACUCUUAGAAAUAACAUUUUCUAUAGUUUCACUAUUCACUUACAUGUAUACUUAAAAUUGUUUCUCCGAGUCAAAGUCACUAAAUUAUUUUUACCCAGAGCUACAGAGUCCAAAUUAAGAAUCGUUAAUUUUCUCUGAAACUAGAUUCACAUAUCUUCUUACCAUAAAAUUUUCAAAAUUUUUAGUUCAACCAAAUAGUACAGUUUAUUCUUUAAAGUUCCCCUAUUUCACUGCUCGACAGUUCUGACCUCUCUUCACUACAAAUUAAUUAUCUCAUUGUACAGAAUUCAGAUAUUGUUUCUGUUUUUUUUCUCUUGAAAAUAUAUUCACUGAGGAUUCUAAACAUAUAAAAUUAAUCCCAUAAUUAUUUUUGUACAAUUUGUUACUAUUUUCCAAAGUCAAAAUAGGGGAUUCCGAACUCAUUCUGACUCCAUCUAAUUAAAAUUCAAAUAUCUCAAAAUAUAUAACUCUUUUUCUUGAUUUGUUUCUUUUAUGUGAAAAUAGACUUAUUCAGCUUCAAUUUCAUAUAUUAUUUAGCCUUUAAUUCAAUUUCCACCAUUUUCGGUGAUUUUUCAAAGUCACACAACUGUUGCUAUCUAUAUUGUUUUGUUGUUAAAUGUACUCUUUCAUAAUUUCACUUUUUCACUUUCAAUCACAAUUCAAUUCAAAAUUUACUUUUCCAUUUCUAAGUCGAUAUUCAAUUAAAUUCCAUACAUAUAUUCAUUAUUCAAUUACACUUAGUCAAUUUCUCGAUGAACACUUCGGAAUAAUAACAGAGCAACCACUUUAUUAAUCAAUGAUGUCUGGUGGAAUCAGCACAGAGCAACCACCUUAUUAAUCAAUGAUGUUCGGUUCACAUAGUAGCCUACACAUGUGACCAUUACCAUCCGAUACACGUAGUAGCCUGCACAUAAUACUACAAACGUGAUAGAAACUAUUCGGUACGCAUAGUAGCAUGCAUAUAGUACUACACAUGCGACCUAUCAUUCCAGUACACGUAGUAGCUUGCACAUAGUACUACACAUGUUACCAUCACUUUCACUUUUACAUAGUGGCCUACACAUAAUCCGUGCCACAUAUGGGAUCAUUUCUGUCACUUCAUUCGUAUCCCUUUUUAUUCCAAAGGUUCAUUCGAGAAUUUUUUACUUUUUCUCACUUUUCUUUUUAUCGAUCAAUUUCAAUUUCUCGUAUUUCUUGAUUUAUAACAAUACAUUUAACUUAUAUAACAUUCACACUAUUCAUUCCAGUCCAAAAUCAUACAUUGGUUACGUUUUUGCCCCUAAAGUUUCUCAAAAUUAUGAUUUUGCCCCUAGGCUCGUAAAAUAAUUUUUAUUCAAUUUCCUUACAUUUUAGGCCUAGCCGAACCAUUUUCAUAACUAUAGCAGUCCACAAAACUCACUUAUCCACACACUUAUGACAUAUUUUAUAACUUUUACAAAUUAAUCCUUUAGGCAUUUUCAUUGAAAAUCACUUAGUAAAAGACGUUCAUCACACCCAAAACAUUCAUAUUCUUUCAUAAAAUAUCAAAAUACAUGCAUAUGAUUCAUGGGUAAAUUUUAAAACACAAACCCUAGUUCAAAAUAAUGGUAGAAAUAGCUAGAUCUUGUUACGAGGAUUUCAAAAACGUAAAAAUCAUUAAAAACGGGGCAAGGAUGGACUUACUAUUGAGCUUGGAAUCUUGAAAACCCUAACCAUGCCUUCCCCUUACUAAAUUCGGCCUUAUGGAGAAGAUGGACAAAAAUUGACUUUUAAUUUUAUUUUUAAUUCAUUUUAAUAACUAAAUGACCAAAAUGCCCUUAAUGAAAAACUUUGGAAACAUGCCUAGCCAUGCCCAUUUUUGUCCACCAACUUAACCAAUGGUCUAAUUAGCAUAUAAAUACCUCCAAUUUAAAAUUUCAUAACAAUUGGACACCUCUAACAUAUAGAACUCAACUUUUG